UUAUCUGACAGGAGAGUUGAAGAAACUCAAGACCCUUGUUAUAAAUGCAAAAGAACAUGGAAUAAAAGGAGUACCUGCUUUGGUCAAAAGGAUGCUAGAAAAGAACAUGUUUCUUUUUGGGUUCGUGGAUUUACAUGAAGGUUCUGUCAGUGAGACAGGGAACCAACUCACAGAAUUGCAAGAUGCCCGUGUGCAAGUUGCAUAUAAGAAGUAUGUUUUCUAAGAAUGAUAUAAUUUAUUCCAAUCUAAUAUAAUAGCAUGAUUAGGCAGGUUUCAGGUUUCAAAACAUUCUAUGGAUCCUCUUAUUGCUCCACUGCUUUCUUUAUAACAGGUUGUUUGAUGAUAUUCGGAUUGAGCAAUUCCUCCAUAUGGACAUGGUGGUAUGUUGCAUAACUCAUGUAAAGGUUUUACUCAGGUUCCACUAGAUCAAUAGUUGCAAAUAGGCCCCGCCUUUUCCUAUUUUGAAAAUAGAUACCUGUAGGUAUAAUGAUUGUACGAUGCUCACAGUUGGUGCCAUGGUUUUCCUCUUUUUUUUUUUCUUUCUUCAGAAUAAGCUUGUGGAUUGAAUUGCAUCUGCAUCUGCAGGGUAUGUAAUUUGAUUUAGAGAUGCUCAAGAAAAUGUUAACAGAAUAUGCAGAGGCGAAGAAACAUGUCAACAGAGGUAUGUUCUUUUAUCCAUCUCAUGUCCUUAUUUAAAAGUUAUAGACUGAAUAAGCAUCAAAUAGUGAAAGUAACAUGUGUAUUUUUCCUUAAUAUAGCUGUUUGAUAUUGUGGUAGCUGUUGUGGUUGUGGUUUGAAAAAGUUGUUUUAUAAAAAGUAAUUUUGAUUGAGGUUGAUUUGGUAUUUAUGAAUGUUUGGUUAAAACUGUGGUUGAAAAUGAGGUUGAAUAAAAAAUAGUUUAAUGUAUUUGGUUAAUAAUGCUUUUGAAAUUGAGGUUAUAAAAUAAUUUUAAAAAAUAUAUAUUAAUAUUGAUGAUUUUUAAUUUAAAUAUUGUAGAUUUAACUAUUGUUAUUACAUCAUGAAAUAAAUAAUACUUUAUAUAAAAUAUUUUUUAUUGUUUCAUUAAACUAUCUACAAUUCCAUCACGUAUGAAAUACAUCCGACAAGGAUUACAGUUUUUUUGGUAUCUUAAGCGCGCAACAUCAGGUAAAAUAUAAUCAGGAACAAAAUUGGGAUUGCGAUCAAAUUCUGCAAAUGCUACGUCAUCAAGUGAUCUCUGUCUAAUUUAUGUAGUGUCAUUGAAUAAUGUUAAACACUAGUGUUUCGAAUAUAACACAAUUAAAAAAUAAAAAAUAAUUUUAUUAUUUUUUACUGGGUCGGACCUGGUUCAAUGCAUUUUGAGCUUUGAACCGGAACCGGUCCAACCGGAACAGUGGAGCUGGCUACACUGUUUAUGCUAAUUAAUUAGCAUGAACAGUGCGCAAGAAGCAGCAAUUGCUUGCUUUUCUUUCCCCUGCGUUUCGGACGCAAAACACUGUGGGACCCAUAAACAGUAAACUGGGUUUUUUCCUUAACCAAACAGGUUGCAUCUGCGUUUUAAACAAAACGCAGACGCAACCUCAUUACCAAAUGGCCUCGAAUCCAUAAGAGUUUGUGUUUAUUCUUAUUGUCGAUUUGUUACUCAACCCAAAAAUUUCUCUCUGAUUCUUAUCCACAUCAUUUAUGGUGCUGUAUAAACUUUGAAGCACAUAUCAAUUAAUACUAUCUAAACAUGUUAAAUAUGCUUGGUCCAGAUAUCAUGGAGUCUCCAAUUUAUAUUUCCCUUUUAAAAUUCUUUCAGUAUCUAAUGACGUAUUUAAUUUACCACUUUUUUUUUUCAGAAGCAAGCAAGGCAGUAGAUGUCCAAAACAUACAGCAUAUAUCAUAUGAUAGGGAAUUUAUUUGAGAUGAAGUUGAGAGGAUCACAGAGAACUGGAACGUCCAAAGGCAAGUGUUUUAUCAGCAAACAGGACUGAAUCAACGUCAUGCUCAGAAAGAUGAGCAACAACAUCAACCACAGCACAAAAAACAUGAACAACACGAUGAUGAUUUUGGUGAUGAAUUUUGUCAUCAACUGGAACUGCAACUAACUGAAGAAGAACAGCUACAACAAAAACAAGAGGAUGAUGAAUGUAAUCAUGAAUUGGAGCUGUAACUUUCUGUAAAACAACUCUAAUAAUGUAGCAACAAAAUGGUGAGGAAUUAUGCUACAAAAACCAGGACAAAUAGGAAUCCCAUGGUUUAGGACAUAAUUAUCUAGCAAGGUGAUCAUUCCAAUCUGCGGAAUUUUGUGAUUAGACUGCUGCAAUUUGAACCUCCCUUCAAGACUAUCCCCAGGACUUUUUCAGUUUAUGAAAGAGAAAACUGAUUGGUUUUCUGGAUAGGUUUCUCAAGCUACUGUAUUUAUUAUCAAAACACAAAAAGGAUCUCUCUGUAUAAAACGUUUGUCAGUAUAUGUUGAGAAUGGCAUCUUGAAACAACUAGAGUCAUUUUUAAUGUUAUUCUUUGCCAUUGGUCUGCAUCCCCAUGAAGUCUAUAAACCUAGCUUUUCCAGUUCUGUUAGGCCCCUUGUCCCACCCUUCCAGUACCAAGAAUUUUGUUUUCCUGUUCAUGCCAUACAUGUCUAUUGUUGAUUUUAAGUGCAGAUAAAGUUCAGAUUGGGUUUCUGUCGUUUAUUUUGGUCCACUGGAUUCUUGUUAGUGUCACAAUCAUCUCAGGAUUAUUCAAUACGUUUCAUUACAAUACCUCAUGAAUCAUGCUUUACUGAAGGAAGCAAUUGAAGUGUAUUCCCUUUUCUUUUAUGGUUUCCAGCUGUUCUCUUUUAUGUUGAUUAAUAAAAAGAGGAAACAUUAGUUGUGUGUUGACUAUCACCAUUUUCAAUGAUUCAGAUUAUAUCAAACGGCAUGGAGAUGGAUUUUUGCAAGAGUCUUUUAAGUUGUUUGAGCUUAGUUCAGAGCAGAGUAUUAAUUAAACUGUUAGGUAGCAGAAUUCUUAAUUGACCAUUCCCCCUCAAUUCCUCACAUGAUUACAUGAACUAGUAAACUACAAAAGCAAUAAAAUUAGAGGGGAAACAUGUAAGUAUAAUAAAUAUCCCAAUACCCAAACCUUCCAAGUAGCCCUUAACUCUUUUCUAAAUGAAUUUUCCUAUGACUCAAUCUCAACAACAUGAAAUUUGCCCUUCUCACGCAAGCUAUCCAAGCUAAAACCAACCAACCUAGAAUUCAAAUUAUACACAAAAUCAACCACAUUUGAGUCCACAAUGCACUUCCUUGGCUUAGCAGAUGAAUAAGCACCAAACUUGCCACAUCCUUUAACCUCUAUGCAAACUUUCACAACUAAUUCAUCGCUAUAGUUCCCUACCCUCUUCAGUCACACCACUACUUUCACCCCUGUAUCCAUCAUCAAGCUCUGAUAAUUCAACACCACCUUUCACUUCAAACUUUAGCCCCUUAAUGGCUCCACCUGCAUUGAACAUGUUGGUUAGCCCCAGGGGUGCAAAGCUGAACCCAGUUGCUAAAACCUUGAUGUGUGUUACAGUGAAUAUGCCAUGCUCAAGGACUUUGAGUGACACUGGCAAGGCUGCAUUGUAAAGGAGGGUGAUUAGUUAUCCCGUCCGGUGACAAUAGAAAACACAAUUGUCAUCCCAGUUGUUGCUACCCAAUUUUUGAUCCAUGUUUUGAUAAAUUUUUCAGAAAAAUUCAAAAAUAGCGAAAAACAAUGAAAAUAAAAAAAAUACGUUUUUUAAUAUAUUUGCAUCAUUUUUAGCAUUUUCAGCAUCGUCUUAAAAGAAUUUAAUUUUUCAAAGGUCUUUAAAGCGCGUUCAACUUUUAACGCGUUAUUUUUAAAAAAUCAAUAAUUUUCCUCAUUUCGAGUCGAUGUUGAUAAGAAAAAUCUAAAAAAAUAAAAAAAAUCAAAUUUACAAAAAAAAAAGUUGAGGGACUAAGUUUGGUGACCUAGCAACAUUUUUGCCUAUAAAUAGGAGUUUCCAACACAUACAAAAGGGAAGGGGGCAAUUUUGAAAAAACAAAAAAAAAAACCCUAAACCUAAACCUUCACAGUGCAGGCCUCUGCCCCCUUCCUUUGGUUUCUCUCCCAAAACCAGCCAAAGGAAAGCAGCCCCACAGGCCGCUCUCCAUUUCCUUCCCCCCAUUUCCUCUCAUCUUCAACCUAUAGCACAACAACCCCAUUUUCCUCCACAACAGCCAGCAUUCCCUUUAUCCUCUCCUCUCCCCCGGCUUGCUCUUCUUCUUCACCCAUAGAAGUCAGCCGCCGCUACACCUCCAUCUCCCACAUCGGACAAGCUCCCCUCCUCCAGCCGUUCCUCCAGCGCCCACAGACCCAACAACACAGAAGCUCCCUCCUUGGCAGCAUCUUCUUCUUCGGUCUUCUCAACAGUAAACGACCAAAACAACAGCCCGAAGCCAACCCAACUGCAACACCCCCCUCUCGGCCGUUCAGCCUGGGAGCCGCCUACCACCCGAAGCGAAAGGGAGGAAGACGGAAACCAAAGAAGGAUCUGUGGUGAAAUGGAUCUGAAAGGAGAGAGACAAAUCUGAAAAACAAAGAAAUAAAAACCUAAAAUCAACUGUUUGUGCGUUUUUCUCCUUGUUGCAAGUGGCGGUGACCUUCACAGACAGCGUAGGAAGACAAAGAAGAAGAAGACGUUCCCGAUCCACGGUUUUAUUGCCUUUAUCGGCGGUGGCGUGUGAACCCAUGCGCCACCAGUGGUGGUGGCGCGUGGAGCAACACGCCGCUACUGUUUCUGCAGUUUCAGAGGGCUUCCCAGCACUGUUCCUGAAUUUUUUAGGGUUCAUUUCAUAAAUUUAAAAUUGUUUAAUGUGUUGUUUUGUUUAUUUUGAAUUUUUGAUUGAUUUGUAAUCAUGUAAUGGGUGUGUGCUUAAACAUAGUAAAAGGAAAGUGUUGGAGUGGGUGUUUUGUUAUUAUUUUUUAUGUAUGUCUUGUUUAUGUUAAAACUAAAAAGAAAUUUUAAUUUGCAUUGAAUUUGGUUCAUAUUUCAAAAAAUAUCAAAAAAUAUUUUUUCUUUUGGUAACUAGAUUAUAAUCUUAUAUGUAAGAUGCAUUUUUUAUAUUAAAUAGAAAAGUUUGUUUUGUUUUUAUUGAUGCUAGAGCAAUUAGGUUUUUUUAUCCGAUAAGAUAAGGAUCUCCUUACCGAGGAGAACUUUUCUUCUCUUUUUAAGAAAUCAUUGGCAAGACAACUUUCAAAACCUUUUAAAUUACAUCAAAUCGCGAAGCAGCUUACCUCAGGUAGGGUGCGUUAAGGGUGUUAAUACCUUCUCUAACCACAACCAGUUCCUUACCCGUGAAUCUCUAAUAAAGACCAGUAUAUCCGGGUUUCCUAGUAACCCUCAAGUAAAUACUAGGUGGCGACUCCCAAGAACCAACAAGCAAAUGAAUCAAAAAUCACCAAACGGACGCCACGCGGGCGACGUGCAACACCAAUUGGAGUCCGUGGCAGCUUCAAUGAUGAGGUGAACAUCACGACCCCUAAUAGUGCCUGUUAGGGUAUCAGUUGUGGUUUGGUGGAAAGCGUUCUUUAUUUCCGUGCUGCUCCAAGCUGCUCCUUGGCAAUUGUAGACACCUAAGACCCCUGUGAACUUGUUCAUGCUCAAUAUUUUCAAUAAGCUGCAAUCAAAGAAAAACUGUUUAAGAAAAUUCUCCAUAAUGCAACAUUUCUAGGAUAAGAAAUUAGCUAAAAUUCAGAUGAAAAUAUUUUCAUCAUGCUAGCUAGCUUAGAUGACGAAACUAUCAAGAAAAAAAAGAUUUAUCGCACUCCAUCACGAGAAGGGUCAGAGAACAAGUAGUCAGAGGUGGGCCUUCCAAGCAAACAAGCUCGAAGAAUAGACCCAUCGGGAAGUACCACCUUCUUUAGUAGCUCAAAGUUGUGCUUCCCAGGUGCAUCACUGCUCAUAAAAAAUGUUACCACAAACAUUUAGCAAAUGACAUAGCACAAAAAUAUUUGAUGAUAUCUUAAUUUAACAUUGAAAUUUUGAUUGAUGAUGAAGGACUAGGAUUUACUACCUGACAUAGAUGGGUCCACCACUAAUAGCCCUAGCAGAAGCAUGAUACUCUGCAGCUGUAUGUAAAGAAUGGAACAUGUCCCAAUCAGGCAGCAUGAACUCUCCUAAGAAAACACUGUUAUAUGUCACUGCUACUAUAUGAAUGGUGUGUGAUACUGGAUCACGCGGGUAGAAAUAAUCUGAUGCUCUCACCACUGCUGUUUGUUUGGAGAUGCGCCAUAAUGAUGCAACCAUAUUAUUCAAUAGUUUCACCCACAUUUAACUAGUGUUUUGCCUAUGUUUUAUAUAUAAAAUGCCUUGAUAUUCUUUGUUUUAUGUUUUGAAGGCACUUUUGGAUGAAAGAUGCAAAAAGGAGUAAAUUGGAGAUAAUUGGCAGAUUUGACCUUCAGUCGAUGUUUUGUGCAGAGCGUAAGCUCUAGAGGUUGAAAUGAAGUGAUUCUAGUGGAAUUAAAAAGAUAACAUCCAUACCUUUCUGGAAAUCUAAGUCAAGAAAAUAAAAUAAGGAAGAGCAUGAAAAUCGCAGCCUUCAAAGUCAAAUCUCGCAAUCUGCCAGUGUUGACCUUCGGCCAUUCCAACUUGAAUAUCUGGAGCUACAGAAGUCCAAUUGAUGCAAACUCAAUUUUUUUGGAUUCAUGACUCAAAUGUAUAUAAACGCUCCAAAUUUCAGCCAAAACCGAUGUCAUAUGAGGGAGAUAUGAUUUUUCAAAGAUGACAUCUGAAUUCUGCCAGCAAACAGGUUUCGUGAACAAAACGAGUCCAAAUUACGUUCCGAAGCAUCUAAACCGUGAUGAAGAUAGGAAGUUUUUAGAGAAUUGAGCUAAUUGAUAAACUUCAGAAUAGUAUGUAUUUCGUUAUUUUGAAUAAUACAACUGUUAACAUAUAUAUACACAGGAUUGCAGGUUUGAAUUUAGAAACAAAGCUAAGGUUGCGUCUUAGCAUUUACACUGCAUUUACAGUGAAGAUUUAUUUGUCGUUACAAGCUUGAUAUUAGGCUUGAGUGAUGGUUGCACAAUCCUGUGCAGGGGGCAAGGGAUUAUUUGCUGAAUCUGUGGGGAUUUCCUUUAUACGCUCCCGCAAGAUGGAUGAGCCAUCAGCUAAGCCAAUCUUGAGCAGUAAAGAAUGCAGACGUUGGGAAGACAGAGGCUUUGUUAGAAAAUCUGCCAGUUGGUCAUGAGUGUUGACAUGCUGAACAUUGAGAAUCUUCCUCUGAACCAUAUCACGGACAAAGUGGAGGUCUAUCUGAAUGUGUUUCAUCCGGGAAUGCUGAACUGGAUUGAAGCUGAGGUGUGUAGCGCCCAGGUUGUCACACAGCAGUCUUGGUGGAGAGGGAAUUGGGAGACAGAGUUCUUUGAACAGGGACAUCAACCAAACUGUUUCAGACGUAGUAGUGGCUAGUGAACGAUACUCAGCUUCAGUUGAGGACCUGACGACAGCCCGUUGUUUCUUAGAGCUCCACGAGAUGGGAUUGAUCCCCAGAAAUGUAAUGUAAGCUGAAGUAGAGGUGCGAUCAUCAUAAUUUCCAGCCCAGUCAGCAUUAGCAAAGGUGGUAACAUCAAAUGAAGACUGACGAUUUAUGUGAAUGCCAAGGAAAAUGGUUUUCUUCAGAUAGCGGAGCAAACAUUUGGCAGCAGACCAGUGAGUGACUGUGGGUUGAUGCAUGAAUUGUGACAACUUAUUAACGGCGAAGCAAAUGUCAGGACAAGUAAGGGACAAAUAUUGUAAACCACCGAUGAUACUUCGAAAUUCAGUGCUGUUGCAGGGUGCUGUGCUGUCAAGAAGCUUGAGCUGGACUGACGUGGACAUAGGAGAAGAGACAUCCUUAGCACCCUGCAUGUUGGUUUUGAAGAGAAGGUCCCAUAUGUAUUGAUGUUGCGAUAAGAACAACCCGUUUUUGGUGGGUAUAACAUCCAGCCCCAAAAAAUAAUGAAGUGUGCCCAAAUCUUUUAAUGAGAAUUGGAUGCAAAGUUGAUGAAUCACAUGAGUCAGGAAGGAUGGAGUGUUACCAGUGAUGACUAGAUCAUCCACGUAGACCAGCAGAUAACACAGAACAGCUGCACUGUGAUAGAUGAAUAGAGAAGGAUCGGCUUUGGAGUUGUGGAAUCCCAGUUUCAGAAUGGCCUGUUGUAGAGCAGAAUACCAGGCACGAGGGGCCUGUUUGAGGCCAUAAAUUGCCUUGUUUAACCGACAGACAUGAUGUGGAGUGGUGGUAUCUUGGAACCCUGGUGGCUGUGACAUAUAAACUGUUUCAUGCAGGUUCCCAUGCAGAAAGGCGUUGUUUACAUCUAGUUGCCGCAAUGACCAGCCGUGCAUGACAGCCAUGGUGAGAACUGUUCUUAUGGUGGCAGGUUUCACAACAGGGCUGAACGUUUCACUGUAGUCCAGGCCAGACCGUUGAUGAUAUCCUUUUGCAAUCAAGCGGGCUUUAAACGGAGCUAUGGAACCAUUAGGAUGUUGUUUGACCCAAAAAACCCAUUUGCACCCAACUGGUUGGCAGUCAGGAGGAGGCGGUACCAACUCCCAUGUACCAUGCCUCAUGAGGGUUGUGAGUUCCUCAGACAUUGCUAAUCUCCAGUGUGGCUCACGGAGAGCCUGUCCCACACAAGUUGGCUCUGCAGUACUUGGGAGGGGGUGUUUUGUGGUGGUGUUAACUUGUUUGGGUUUGUAAAUGUUAUUCAUGGAACGGGUGACCAUUAAGUAAGCCCGGUUGGGUGCAGGAUGUGAGGGAUGAGGAGGUGAGGUGGGCGAAACUGCACAAAGAACUGAUGAGGAUGGGUUACAGAGAUCUGGCAGGGGAGAUGAGGCAGGUUGAAAAAUACUGGGGGCAGAACAUGCUGAAGGAGAAGAUGAAGAUGUGAGUUCAUGUUAAGUAAAAGACAGAGUGGGGGAUUCAUUACCUGAGUGAGCAGUGAGAAUGGGUACCCUUGCCGAAGUCACUGGUGGAGGCGUAGGAGGAGAUGAAGAAUUUCCAUGAACAGGGGAGGCACUUGUCGGGCUAGGUGUGAAAAAUUGGCUGGAGGGGAUACCAUUUUCAUUUUCAUGAAAGAUGACAUGGCGUGAUUGAUAUAGGCGGUUUGUCAGGGGAUCAAGACAACUGUAUGCAUUUUGUGUUAAGGAGUAUCCUACGAAAAUACAAGGAAUGGAUUUUGGUUGUAACUUGUUUGUGUUAUAUGGCCGGAUAAGAGGAAAACAAAGACAACCAAAUUUUUUUAGCUUUUUAUAAUUUGGAGAUUGUGUAAAUAAAAUUUCAAACGGUGAUUUAUGUUGGAGGAGAGGUGUGGGCUGAUGGUUAAUAAGGUAUGCAGCGGUGGAAAAGGCAUAGGGCCAAUACUGUAGUGGAAGGGACGCAUCAUGUAGUAAUGUGAGACCGGUUUCAACCAAGUGACGAUGAUGUCGCUCAGAAACACCGUUUUGUUGCGGUGUAUGAGGAGCUGUGGUGUAAUGACUGAUUCCAUUUGUUGUAAAAUAGUGUUUUAAGGCAACAAAUUCACCACCAUUAUCAGAGUAGACAGAUUUAAUUUUUAAUUGAAACCGGUUUUCAACAAGAUUUUUGAACUGGGGAAAGAUGAUGCGAACACUUGAUUUUGUUUCCAUAGGAUAAAACCAAAUGUAUUUCGUGAAAUGAUCAACAAAAAUUAGAUAGUAACGAGCCCCAGUGAUGCCAAUUGUACUUGAGGGACCCCACACAUCAAUAUAAAGUAAGUCAAGAGGAGCAUGACUCAAGAGACUAUUUUGACGAAAUGGUUGACGGUGAGCUUUAUUAAUAGAACAUGAUGAACAAAGAGAAAUAUUUUUUUUGUUGAUUGUUGGAAGGGAAAAAGAGUUGAUAAGGUGAGUAACCAAUUUAGGAGAUGGAUGCCCAAGACGUUUGUGCCAUCCGUCAAUAGAGAUUCUUUCAUGCACGUUAGCAACAAUGGUAGGAGAAGACUGCACCAUUGACUUCGGAAGGGUGUAUACACCAUUGUCACACGCUCCUCGGAACAGAACCGCUCCCGUAAUUUGGUCCUUAACAAGAAAGAAAGAGGGGUGAAGCUCAAUAAAAACAUGAUUUUGACGAGUAAAUUGAUGAGCAGAUAUGAGAUUUUUUUGUAUAUUAGGAACACAAAGGGUAUCAUUUAAAUGAAAGGUACGGUUGGGAGAUUGAAAAAGUAAGGAGCCAAUGUGAGAAACAGGCAAACCUGAACCAUCACCAAUAAUAACUUCGUCAGUGCCAUCGUAUUCUGAAUGAAUAGAUAGAUUAGCAAGAUCACCAGUAAUAUUAUGAGACGCGGCUGAGUCUAUAAGCCAUUUUGUAUCCUGUGCUGGUGAGGUGGAAGUACAGUUUGUUGUUGGUGUGUUGUACUGAAAACGACUGUAGUGUUUUGCAGUAUGACCCAUGCGGUCACACAGUUGGCACUUGGGAGAAAAACGACGUGGUCCAUAAUUUUUGUUGCUGUCUCUCGGGUUGCUAGGCUGGCGAUAGUGAGCUGGAGGUUUGUUUCUUUGGCCAUAUGACCUGUCAACGAAGUGGGGCUUUGGGGCAGAUUUAAAAGACUGAUUGUCUUGACCAUAAGAAGCCCGUCGGUGCAUGUAGUUUGCAGAAGCAAUUAGUGGAUGGGAGGAGACUUCAAGGCGACGAAGAUAUGCAUCAUGACUGACAAGGAGAUCAUGAAGUUCCUCAAAAGUGAGUGGUCGUUCUCGGGCGCGAAUAGGACCUGCAAUUUCACGAAAAUCAGUUCCCAGGCCAUUUAGGAUAUAGAGCGUUAGAUCAUCUUCAAAGAUUGGGUGAUCUAUGAGGGAGAUUUCAUCUGCCAACGAUUUUACAGAGUGAAGGUAUGUUUGAAUUGACUGGUUGCCCUUCUUUAUCAUUGUGAGUUCUUCUUUAAGUUGCAUUGCUCUGGUUCUGGACUUGCUUGCAUACAGAGUAUGUAAUUUAUGCCAUGCAUCCUUUGAUGUCUUGGCCAUUGAAAUGAGAGGAGUGAUGACGGUAGAUGUAGAUGUCAAAAUGGCACUGAGGAUAAGCUUAUCUUGCCUUAUCCAUUGAGUUCGUUGGACAGCACAAAUUGAUGUGCUGGUGGGUAUGGGACAGAUUUUUUCUCCAGUGACAUAGUCAAGAAGAUCAUACCCGAUGAGUAAGGCUUCAAAUUGAGCGCGCCAUUGAAGAAAUGUAGAGGGGGUAAGUUUAUCAUUUAUCUGGGAUGUGAUGUUGAGGGCAAUCAGGGGUGUUUCAGUUGGAGAGGGUGGAGUUGAGAUUGGAUUAUGAUUGUGAGGGAUCAAAUUCUCGUUGGAGAUUUCUUGCUCUGAUACCAUGAUGAAGAUAGGAAGUUUUUAGAGAAUUGAGCUAAUUGAUAAACUUCAGAAUAGUAUGUAUUUCGUUAUUUUGAAUAAUACAACUGUUAACAUAUAUAUACACAGGAUUGCAGGUUUGAAUUUAGAAACAAAGCUAAGGUUGCGUCUUAGCAUUUACAAUGCAUUUACAGUGAAGAUUUAUUUGCCGUUACAAGCUUGAUAUUAGGCUUGAGUGAUGGUUGCACAAUCCUGUGCAGGGGGCAAGGGAUUAUUUGCUGAAUCUGUGGGGAUUUCCUUUAUAAACCGAUAUCCAAGUUUUUAUUUCAGCAAUUUAGCUCCUCUAAGUCAAAGCUUGAAGAUUUCAUGCAAGGCUAUUUCUUCUUUUUUAGGAAAAUAGUUAUUGAAGUACUUAAAUGUAAACAGUCUACUUAAUGGAGGACUAUUUUGUAAAAUAGAGACCUAGGGUUUCCUAAGAUAUAAGCAGAAAAGAGGGAGAGCAGAAGGAGACAGCAGCCAGCAGAGAAUAAACACAAAUUCUCUCCUCUACAAACCCAAAAAUCAUGCUUUUUUCAUUCUUUAGAAGUAGUUGUUCAAUAGUUAUGCAAGACUAAGCUCUUUUCUUGGUUGCAAGGACACAACAAACCUUCGGAUUUCAAGAACCGUGAGAUUUAUUCUUCCUUUUAUUUUCAGUUUAUGUUAUGAAUGAGUAUGAUUGUUUUCCUAUGCAUAUUUCCUAUGAUUGUUAUUGAUGAUUGCUAGAGCGGACUCUAAGUUAUUGUUGUGAACAAUCUAUUGCUAAGUUUAAUAUCAAAACCGGAGUUGUGAUAUAUGAACUUGUGAAGCAACUAAGCUUGAUAAUUGUGGCGGAACUACGUUAUUGAAUUUAGGGAGAACAUUUGAACAAAGUGACACAAGCUGCGGACAGCUUGUAUGUUAAUCUUGAUGAAAUUAUCUAGUUCUUAAAGCUACCAUUAAAUUGAAUCAUUAGUGCGGACACUUUGAUUGUUUGUUGGUUAGGAUUAGUUAUACGGCGGAUCCGUUAAUUAAUCAACGUUAAGAAAAGAUAAAAUUUCAGAACAUAAACUGCAAUUUUCGUUUCAAGGAUCGGUUCUAAUUUCCGUUGGUGGAUGUGUGCUUGCGACCAAGAUUUGUUUUCUUGAUAAGUUUUGGUUUUAAUUGAUUUUGUUUGCUAGUUUAAUUGCUGCCAUAGUUUAGAUAAUCACAAACCAAAUCCCCCCCAAUUACAUAACGUACAACAUAAAAAUCUGACUUGAAACUUCCUCAUGGGAUCGACUCCUUACUUGCUCUAUACUAUCUUGUGUGUUUUAAGCUAGGUAAUUAAUUUGUGCGACCGCGACAUCGCAACACAUAACAUUUCAAUGCGCACCAUAUCACAUAAGGAAAAAGCCCCAAGCUUACCAAAAAAAUAAACAAGGUAAAGAAGAAAAAGGAAACUUACCAGUACAAGGCAUCAAUAUUGUGGUUCAUGCAAGCAAUGCAGCCAUUAUCAAGGAAGUUAUUAGCAACAGAAGCAUCGAGGGCCUGAUGAUAUUGCCUAGUCAAUUCAACCCUUCAUCCUAAUCCAGCACCAAGUGUCUCCAAAAUACAUUGAACAUCCACCUUAACCCCAUCGAUACCAGCUGCUGCCAAAUAACUAUGCAACUCAUUAUAAAACUUGGACACAUUUUUUGGAUUUACUAACCCUAAUCCCUACAACGCCAAUGCAUUGUUUUUCCAUGUGGGCUCAUUCUCCACCACCCCCUUUGACACCAUUGGAUACUUCAUCAUUGACCCAUAUUCCUCCAUCACCUUGACUCCUGGAUAGACCCCACCCCAAUAACCAGUAAUAGCAUGCCACACAUACACAUAUUUCAACCCGUGUUUUUCUUUAGCUGUAUUCACUAUGCUCUUGAUCCCCGCUGCUGGAUCAUCUUUCUUCUGGAACUUUGCGUUCUCUUUAAUCCCAGUCAACCUAAGCAACAGUUGCUGAUCUUAUUUCUUCACAUCUUGACAUUGGUUUCCUCUUCUGGGUCACCACCAACUAAUUGCCAUCCAUCAUCAAUGAUCACAAAUUUCGGCGGGGUACCACCAGAAGCUAGACUUUGUAGCCCAGCUUCUACCCCUUCUUGAGUCACUUCUUGAUAAAAGGCAUCCCAGGUACACCAACCAAAAUGAUCAAUAAUUCCAGGCAAUCCUUUCUCAUGCGUUUUUUCCCUUGACUAGCCGUUCUCCUCUUCUCUAUGCUCUCUACCUUCUCUUUUUUUUUUUUUAUUAUAUCCUAGGAAAUCCUAAUCUCUAUUUUACAAAAUAAUCCUCCCUUAAGUAAACAGUUUUCAUUUAAGUACUUCACUAACUAUUUUCGUAAAGAAGGAGAAAUAGCCUUGCAUGAAAUCUUCAAGCUUUGACUUAGAGGAGCUAAAUUGCUGAAAUAAAAACUUGGAUGUCGGUUUAGAUACUUCGGAACGCAAUUUGGACUCGUUUCUUCACGAAACCUAUUUGUUGGCAGAAUUCAGUUUUCAUCUUUGAAAAUUCAUAUCUCCCUCAUAUGACAUCUGUUUUGGCUAAAAUUUGGAGCAUGGAUAGCUCUUUGAGUCAGGAAUCUAAAACAAUUGAGUGUGCAUCAAUUGGACUUCUGUAGCUCCAGCUACUCAAGUUCGAAUGACUAAAGGUCAACACUGACAGAUUGCGAGAUUUUACUUUGAAGGCUGUGAUUUCCAUGCUCUUCCUUAUUUUAUUUACUUCACUGUAUUAGAAUCACUUCAUUUCGACCUCUAGAGCUCACGCUCUGCACAAAACAUCGACUGAAGGUUAAAUCUGCCAAUUACCUCAAAUUUACUCUUUUUUGCAUUUUUCAUCCAAAAGUGCCUUCAAAACAUAAAACAAAGAAUAUCAAGAUAUUUUAUAUAUAAAACAUAAGCAAAACACUAGUUAAAUGUAGGUGAAACUAUCGAAUAAUAUAGUUGCAUCAAAUACCCCCACAUUUAGCUCUUGUUUGUCCUCGAGAAAGGAUAGAUAAAAUCAAAUUGAAAAUAACUAUGACCAAUCUCUUAAUCUCUCAUCAAUCUCCAAGAAUAUAUGCAUAUAAACUAGAAUACAAUCAAGAAGGAUAGAGAGUAUAGAUUUUCAUGAAUUUAUUUACAUGCAAAUUUCAAAACUCAAUUAAUCGUCAGGAUUUAAAUGAAAUAUAUGUCAUGCCAAAGUGAUAGGUCCUCUCAUUGAUAUACACUCCAACACUCACGUGUUGAGGGCUUAUGUGUUAAAUCUCUCAAAUUCAAUCAAUGAAUAUGUUCUACCAUAAGCUUGCUCUUCAAUCUCAUCUUCAUUGCCAACAUAUUACAAGCAAUGCAUGAAUCAAAAUGUUUUAUUUUCCGGUUGUAAUGGGGUUAAGGUUAAGGUGAGGUAAAAGAGAGUAAAAGAAAACGUUCAAACCAAAAAAAGUAGAGCAUUCUGAAAAAUGAUAUUUCAAACAAGAUAUUCCAUCAAUGCACAUAAAUUUUCCAUCUUUAAUCACCAAUGCUUAACUUCUUUUGAUUUCAAGCUCUUUCAAUAUAAAAUCUUAAGAACAUAAAGGAACACUUUUUUUUCUUUUUCACCUUCGGCAACUUUGCCCAUCUUUUCAUCAAGCAUCACUUCUUCUUUCUUUUCAUAUAAUUUCCAACCAUAAUUCCAUGAGAUAUCACAAGUAUAUGCUCUACUAAUCCUUGGCUAGGGGAAAAGGAAAACAUAUAAAAAGUUAAGGCUUAUACAUGGAUAAAGCAAAGAAAAGAUAAAUAAGCUCAAAAGGGGCUCACUAAGGAUAAUAUGCUUUAGGUUGACUUUUUAGCUCAAGUGGUUAAAAUUCUUAAUGCCUUUAUCAUCUUCAUGUAUAUAUGUAAUGCAAAUGUAAUCUCAACAAGAUAUGAAGCAAGUUCUAAAGAUACACAUCAUUGAAAGAAUGCACAAUCAAAGAAUAUAAUGUUGAAGGCUCAAAAUCUUGCAUUGGAUAACACUAUAAAGUCAACAUGACAUAUUUUCAAAGUCAAUCCCUAAACCAAUUAAACGUUAAAACUUGCAUGCACACUCAUUCAUUCGAUUUAUAUCUUCAUCUAUCUCAAUUAAUUCUCAUAUUCUUAUAAACCAAUGGGAGUUCAAAAAGAUCAAACAUAGAAUUUUUUUUUUUUUUUACGCAACAAAGAAAACCAAAAUUCUCUCAAUACCCCCACACUUUAAACGCAACAUUGUCCUUAAUGUUGAAAUAGAAGAAAAGGAAUAGAAGAGAAUGACAAAAAUAAAGUAAAAUGUGAAAAAUAAAAGAUAAAGGAAAAAGAAAGGAAAUCUGAUUUUUUUUGUUUUUGUGUGCUGGGUUAACUCCCAAUAAGCGUUUUUGCUUUAUGUCAUUGGCUCGACACAUCGCAUGCUCAUGCUUCAUAAAUUGGUUCAGUUAACUCCAUUGAAGCGGUGAUUUCUGUCGUCCAACCUUCAUAAACUCAUAAUUUCAACUGCACCAUAAGGAAAAACAUUAGAAACAAUAAAAGAUCCAAUCCAUCGAGAGCGUAACUUUCUGGGAAGCAUUUUUAAACGCGAAUGAUAAAGUAAUCAUUCGGUCAUGAAGACUUUUGAUCUUUUCUAUGUAAAUCCUUGCAUUCUUGUAAGCAUCAUUCCAUAUCUCUUCCAAUAUAAUUCCAGUCUUUUUGGGCACCAAAAGGAUAGGCGCCACCCAUUUACUAUCCGUGAUGGGAUAAAUGACUCCUGCAUCAUAGAGGAUAGUUUGCAAAACUUGCAAAGCCAAUGCUGAUUCCUGCAUGUUUUGGGGAACACAUAUAUUCCUCUCCAUCUUUUUUAUCUCGGUUAAAUCAUAGUCAUAGCUCAAAGCCACGCUUAAUCCAUCCUCACAAUCGAAAUCAAAAACUUGUUGCACACACUUAUCAACUUGGUCAUAGCAUGUGAUAAAAUAAACAUUGCUAUAAGGAUAUUUCAUUGCAUCAUAAAAAUUAAAUUUAAUAUUUUCAUCUCCUACCUCCAUGGACAAAGUAUCCUUACAUAAUCAAUUUUGGUAUUGGUUGUUUUCAAGAAUGGUCUCCCAAACAAUAUAGGAGUGUUGUUUGAUGAAUCACAAGAAUCACGUUCCAUAUCAAGAAUAUAAAAAUCACAUGGAAUAACCAAACUAUCAAUCUUGAGUAGGACAUCUUCUAUCACACCAAGUGGAUAAACAAAACUACGAUCUGAAAGUUGUAUUACAAUACUAGUUUUAUUCAAAGGUUCAAGACUAAGAGAAUCACAAACAUGUUUAGGUAUAACACUGAUGGAUGCACCUAAAUCGCAUAAGGCCCUUUUAAAACUAGCAUUACCAAUAACACAUGGGAUAGUAAAUGCACCUGAGUCUUUUUGCUUCAAAGGCAUAUUCUUUUGAAUAACAACAAAUACAACUUCACCCGUACUUACCAUUUCAUGGCCUUUUAGCUUGAAGGCUCUCUUGGUAGUACACAACUCCUUCAAGAAUCUGACAUGCUUGGGAAUUUGCUUGAUAACAUCAAUCAAAGGAAUGUUGAGUUCCACUUUCUUCAAAACCUCUAAAAUCUAUUUUUCUUUAUCCUCUUUCUUAGACCUAGAAGAACUCGUAGGAAAGGGAGGAAUUGUUUUAAAACUGGAAUUCAAUGAGGGCUUACCUUUGCAGUGUUGGUCAUUGUUUCAAUUUGUGGAGGAGGAGGAUGUUUCUUCUUUGUACUCAAUUCGGUUUCUAUCUCUUCUUCUUCCUCCAUUUUAAUUUGUUUCGACCUUUGCCUUUCAAGUUCUUUCCCACUUCGCAACAUGAUCACACUAACAUUCUCCUUUGGAUUCAAUGUUUGGGAGGACAAUUUUCCAUUAUUUGUGCUUUCAAUUUCCCUACACUUGAAGCUAUUUGCCCCAUUUGCUUCUCUAAUUUGUGAAUACUUGACCUUAUUUCCUGUUGAAAAGACAUGAUAUUUUGUUGUAAGGUCACUGUGUUAGAAGCCAAAGUUUUCAUCAUCUCACGAAGAUCAUCAUUGGAUGACGACCCCAUAACAUUGGAGUUUGUGAAUGGAGGGGGUUGUCUUGCUUGAUAAUUCUGUUGGGGUUGUCUUGCUUGAUAAUUCUGUUGGGAUUGAAAUCCAUGGGGAUGGAACUGUCGACCUUGACUGCCUUGUUGAGGCGGGUUCCCAUAGUGUAAGUUGGGAUGAUCUCUCCAUCUAGGUUUGUACAUGUUGGAAAAGGGAUCAUAUUACAUUGGGGUUGUCCGUUAAAUGCUCCAUCAACUGCACGAGCCUAUUCAAUAUAAUCUUAUUGCAUUGUUGAGCACAUAUCUGAGGUAUGUCCUUGUAAGGAACAUAUGCUACAAACUUUCACCUGCUGUACAUUUCCACAAGCCAAAGAAUGCAUAAGAAAAGUAAGACCAUUGACUUUAUUUUCAACGUUAGAAAUACUUACCUCAUUUACUCGUUUGUUUGAGAAGUCUCCACGGGUGCCAAAUUGUUUCGAGUUGGCUACCAUGUUUGAGAUCAAUUGGCGUGCAGCCUCGGGUGUCUUAUCUACCUAUGCCCCUCCACUUGCAGCAUCAAUGAUACUACAGUCAGUAAGCAUCAAUUCUUCAUAGAAAUAUUGAAUGAGUAGCUAAUCGGGUAUUUGAUGAUGAGGACAUUGAAUGCAGAGUUGCUCAAAUCUUUCUCAAUAUUUGGAGAGUGUCUCUCAAUGAGAUUGCCGAAUCCCACAUAUUUCUUUUCUUAUGUUGGCAACUCGAGAUGCUGGGAUAUAUUUUUCAAGGAAUAUCUUCUUCAUGCCAUUCCAAGUUCCAAUAGAACCUGGGAGAAUAGAGAAAAGUCAUGCCUUUGCUGCCUCUUUUAAAGAGAAAGGGAAAGCUUUCAACUUAACCUGUUCUUCGUCAACUCCAUUCGGUUUCAUGCCAAUGUAAACUAUAUAGAACUCCUUGAGAUGAGUAUGAGGAUCUUCUCCUACAAGACCAUUGAAUAUUGGUGGCAAAUGUAUAAAACCAGAUUUGUGCUCGAAGUUGACAUUAUUGUCGAUGUUUAUGCACAAUGGUUGAUUUUCCACUUUAGGAGCAGCAAGCUCCUUGAGUGUUUCCUGUUGUGCAACAACCAUGGUGUUGACACGAGCUUCUUUUUGUAACCUGCGUAAAGUGUUUUGAAUUUCAAGAUUUACCUGCACUUGUCUUUGGUUAGUAGAACAGGUUACAAGCAUAAAUCGUAAAGAAAACUCAAAAGAAAGCGGCCACACAAGAGAUUGAAACAAUGUAAUUUGAACAAAAAUCCUAUGCUAGAAAACUAAAACUACCUAAAAAGCCUAGAAAACAACAGAAUUUGGCCUCGAUAGGGUGGAGCUAGUGGCUAAAAGCCACUAGUCCUGUUCAAAAUGUUGUUUUUCUUUAGGAAACAAAAGGCUAGGUCCUAAUUCCACUAAAAAAAUUGUUUUGAAUAGUACCGCUGCCGUAAAUGAACAAUACCGCAGCAAGCAAAAAUUCUGUUUCUCUUUUUUUUUUCUCUAAAAAAUAAAUAACAAUCACAACAAAUAAAAAUAAUAGCACAAGAAUCAACUAAAAUUACUUCCCCGACAACAGCACCAAAAUUUGUUGCGAUGUUGCAGUUGCACAAAUUAAUUACACUAGCUUAAAACACAACACACAAGAUAGUAUAGAGCAAGCAAGGGGUCGAUCCCAUGAGGAAGGUUCAAGUCAGAGUUUUAUGCUAUAUGAUAUGCAAUUUGGGGGGGGCGGGGGUUGAAAGUUAUCUAGGCUAAAGCAAAAGAAAACAAAAAUCUAUCAAGCGAAAAUUAAAUAAAAUCGAAUGUUCUCCCUAAGAUUACUAAUUUGGAUCCGCCACAAUUAUUAAUCUCAGUUGCUUCACAAGUAUUUAUACGACAACUCCAGUUUUGAUAGCAAACUUAGCAAUAGAUUAUUCACAAUAAUAACUUAGACCCCGCUCUAGCAAUUAAAAUAAACAAUCAUAGGAAAUAAGCAUAGGAGAAACAAACAUAUUCAUUCAUCAUAGACACUGAAAAGAAAAGGUAAAAUAGAUCUCACAGUUCUUGAAAUCUAAAGGUUUCUGUGUCCUUGCAACCAAGAAAAGAGUUUAGUCUUGUAUGUCUAUUAAACAAUUAAUCAAAAAGAAGAAAGAAAACAUGAAUUCGGAUUUGUUAGAGGAAGGGGGUGUUUUUCUCUCUUCUGGCCAUCUCCUCUUCUCCCUUCUCUCUUUCUUUUUAUAUCCUAGGAAACCCUAGUCUCUAUUUUACAAAAUAGUCCUCCCUUAAGUAGACAGUUUACUUUUAAGUACUUCACUAACUAUUUUCCUAAAAUAGAAGAAAUUACCUCACAUGAAAUGUUCAAGCUUUGACUUAGAGGAGCUAAAUUGCUGAAAUAAAAACUUGGAUGUCGGUUUAGAUGCUUCGGAACGCAAUUUGGAAUCGUUUAUUCACGAAACCUAUUUGUUAGCAGAAUUCAGUUUUCAUCUUUGAAAAUUCAUAUCUCCCUCAUAUGAUAUUAUUUUUGGCUGAAAUUUGGAGCGUGGAUAGCUAUUUGCAUCAGGAAUCCAAAACAAUUAAGUUUGCAUCAAUUGAACUUUUGUAGCUACACCUACUCAAGUUGGAAUGGCCAAAGGUCAAUAUUGACAGAUUGCGAGAUUUGACUUUGAAGGCUGUGAUUUCCAUGCUCUUCAUUAUUUUAUUUUCUUGCCUUAGAUGUCCAGAAAGGUAUGGAUGUUAGCUUUUUAAUGCCACUGGAAUCACUUUAUUUCAACCUCUAGAGCUCACGCUCUGUACAAAACAUCAACUGAAGGUCAAAUCUGCCAAUUACCUUCAAUUUACUCCUUUUUGCAUCUUUCAUCCAAAAGUACCUUCAAAACAUAAAACAAAUAAUAUCAAGAUAUUUUAUAUAUAAAACAUAGGAAAAACACUAGUUAAAUAUAGGUGAAACUAUCGAAUAAGAUGGUCAAAUCAGCACACAUCACUUAAAGUGUGCAAAGUGGCAUCACAUGUCGGCGCGUGCAUCACCAACAACUUUUCUUUUAAAAUAUUAUUUAGUCUUUUGAAAAUACAAAAUUGCACUUGACUUGACUUGAUAAUCACAAAAAAACCACAAUGAAAAGAUAAAUAAGCCCUUAGAUCCAGUUUAAAAAACUCUAAUUCCAAUGGUAACUAAUUAAAUUCAUCUUGCAUUUUUAAGCAAAAAGAUGAAUUUGCCCCUAAAUCUAAGUUAGAUUUAUUUUGAUUUCAAGGAUAUUCUAGUCAUUACAUUGUAUAAAAAAGAGUAAAAAGUAAUUCUUUAAUCUCAAUCAAUAUAAUAAUGAUUGAUUGGUCCUAAUGAAAUUAUUUUAAGGUUAAUAAAGUAAUUACACUAUUCUUGUACACAAUGCAUUAAGUCUAGGUGCGUAGUGAAUUCACUACCCCAAUUAGUUUUUUUAUUUAUUUAAUUGGAAUCAUUAAGUUUAAAUUGAAUGAUCAUGAUCUAGUUUAUGAUAAUAAUAAUAAUAAUAAUAAUAAUUUAACUUUUAAAUAUUUUAUUUAUCUCAUUUAAUUCAUCAAUGAAUUAAAAAAAUGGCACACUUGAAAUAUGACUGAUUAUAUUUUAAGAAUACGAGAGGAUUGAAAUUCAUAUUGUGAGACAUGAAAUUAUAUAAUUUAAGUCUUAACAAACAUUCCAAUGCACAAAGUAAUAGUGAUAAUAAUUACAUUUAUUAAAAUACUAUUAUGAUUUUCAAAAAUAGUUUUUUUUUAUUAACGUAGGUGUCUAGGCCAGGUUGCACGCACCUCAACUAAUCCCUCAAGCCCUGAAGUUAACGACCAUAUAAAUCUCUAGUGGUCUUGAGAGGACUUGAACUCGUGAUCAUUGGAGAUAUGUCCAUAUGUUUUUAAUUGUAUCUAUUAUGUCCCUUAUAUAAUAUGUAAUUCUCUAAUAUAUAUUUUUAGUUGAGUUGUUUUUUAAAAAAACAUUAUGCAUUAAUUAAGGAUUUCUUAAUUUAUUAAUUUUUUUCUUAAGUAAUUUUUUUUAAAAUAUUAAUUAGAAAACUAAUAUACUCAUCAAAACAAUAAUUAGUAAUACCAGAUUGUAUUGUUUCUUGCAUUAUAUAGUAUACUGAUAAUGAAAUUUUUUUUAUUAGCUCACUUUUAAAUUAUCCUAAAGCAACUCCAAUAUGAAAACAAAUGAUGAGUAUUAAUAAAUAAUACAAUAGAGUAGCGUAAUUAUAGUGGUAGAGAUAAUAACAAUAACUUUGUUUUCUAAAAAAAGUGUAAUUAUAGUGUCAUUAUAUUAAAAUAUCGUAAUAAUCAGAGGUUCUUUUCAUUCUUCAUACUUAGUAAAAAUAAUUUUUUAAAAAAACAAUUAUCUUAUAAUAAUUUUUGUACAUUAAAUUAAUUUUUUUAAAAAAAUUUGACUUAUUUUUAGCAAAAUUAUAAAUCAUGAUUUUAAGUCAAAAUAUUCACAAAUAUGUUAUUAAGUUACGUUGUAACAUAUCAAGAUUGAGUUCUUUCUGCUAGAUGAACUCAUAAGUUUCUCCACGAAGAUAUAACGAGAAAGCAUAGGUCAAAGUUUUAAGUGACAUUAACAAAUACAAGUUAUUGACCAGGUCAACUCUCUUUUUGUUUUUUGUUUUUUUUUUUGAAGAGAUUUCUUGAAAAGAAAAUUAGUUUUUUUUAAAAAAAUAUUACUUAAUUAAACAUAAUAAACACCAAUAAAAAAAAUAUUAUCUUACAUUAUAAGAAUUAAUUAAUUAAUUUAUAUAAAUUAGAAAUACUAAGUUAUAAUAAAUUAGAUCCAACCGUAAUUGGAUUGAAAAGAAUCACAAUGAUAAUAAUAAUAAAAAAGAGAAAAUAUCCAAAAAAAAUAGUAUUUAACAGCAACAUGGAUCCUAAAGGCUAAAGUCCAUAUAUAUACACACACACUCAUAAGAAGAAGAAAAAAGAAAGAAGCUAUCGUGCUUUCCUAUCUCCUUAAAAAUUUCAAAUCCUUAAACAAAAUGUUUCCCUUUUAGGUCUAAUUAUGGUGUUGGGUUUGCUUCCAAGCCCAAAAUCGAUCUCUCUCUAGUUUAAUCAUAGAAAAAUCAUAACACCCUUGAUAUCAGGAUGAUUUCAAGAAACUAAGGUUAAAAACCUAAAAUAUCCCUUGACUUUAGACAAAACAAUUAACCCCUAGGGUUAUAUGGUAAUUAUACUGUAUAAAAAAGUGAAAAUCUAAAAAUAUCCCUUAAACAUUAACUAUGUUUUUUUUUUCAAGGGCAUGAGAAUAAUUAUAUAGUGUUCAAAAUACAAUUUUAGAUCUCAGCAUGUGUUUUUUUUUUUGUCACUAUAUAUAACUUAUCAUUAUUAUAUUAUGCACAAUCUAUAAUAAAAUAUUGAUAAAUUUUAUUUUUAUUUUUAAUUUAAAAAUUGACCGAAGCAUCCUGAUCUUUUUUUUUUUUUUAGUUUAACGUGGGUGUCCGGGCCAGCUUGCGCGCACCUCGACUAAUCCCACUGGCCCUGAAGUUAACGACCAUGUAAGCCUCCAGUGGCCAUCAUAUGAGCAACCACAGGGCUUGAACCUGAGACCACAGAGGGAGCAAACCUCUUGGUCCCAAACUCUUACCACUAGGCUACCACCUAGAUGGUUAGCAUCCUGAUCUUUAAAAGAUAUGCUCGGACAUUCUUGCCAACACCUAUUUCAUAUUAAUGGAAAAGGGCCCAUCUAAUGAGAUAAUGACAGAAGCAAAGAUCCCAUUAAGUGGAUUCAAAGUGGCAUAAACUCACCUAUAUCGGUCAUAGACCUUUGGCAACCCAUCGCACCCUCGUCACGGCGUUAACAUCCGUCUUGGACUGAGGGGCGCGAAAUCGGGCCUACUUUUUUUUUUAAGAGCAAGUCUCGCCCUGCCUAUCCCCUAAAAACUAAUUUACUGAAGUAAGGUCCGCCCUUUACCUUUAGGUCAGAAUGCCGCUAUCGCUACUUUUUUUACUCUUUAAAAAAGAGUUCCGUGACUUAUGUGUAGCCUAUAUGGCGAACAAAGAAAAAAAAGCUCAAACAAAGCAAAGGGGCGCUCAUACACUCUCCGUUCUGUAGUGCCCCUAGCGCAGCGCUCAAACAAGCCCUCUGAUCCUGAGGUGAGGGUGCGAUGCCUAUCGAAAUCACAAAAGGUGUAAAAUCGAAUCCGCGUUAAAUGAAAAAUGUCUUGGCAUUGGCUGAUUCCGUUAACCUUCCCCGAUUGACAGAACAUCCAGCUACUGAUACUUGAAAAAGCAGCUUAGCUUUUAAGGUCUCAUUGCUUCAGUGAAUCACUUGAGCCCUGGUACAUUUUCGGUGCCAUGGAGCUGGACCACUGAGCUAUUACGCUUUCUUCAAAGGAUGAGUGUAUAGGACGUAUGAGGAGUCUCGCUCUGUAGCCUAGUUAAUCUCUACCAUUGGGCCUAUACCGCCAAAGCCCAAUACUGCAGAGGAAAUUAAGUGAAGUAGUCGACAAAGAAAAGAAGAUUAACAACACCUUAUGGAGAUGGCUUGCCGUAUUUCUAUCUCGGCCCCAAAAAAGUAGUUAACCUACGAUUGACCUUUAUAUCGUCUACCUCCAUCUCGCAUGAGAAAUCGAAUUCGGGGUGAUCAAAACUAUCCAACGGACUUAGCUCUAUGUCUGAGUUUAGGUUUUUCUCUUUUUUAGCUGCAUGCUCUUGAAUUAGUGAUUCUUAGCCCUCCUAGCAGACAAAAUCAAAACACCGAUAGCAGGAAGCACCUUUCUUGAAAAUUGAGGUAACAUUAACGAUCCUCUUCUUAAAUUAAACAAGCCAGCAGACAGAAUCGCAAGUCGUUGUCUCACCAUUCCUACUAAGUUUGUGGGUUUCCUGCUUUCUUCGCUUCUAAAUUGCAUUAUACAUUACAUAUUUUAAUCCUUUACACCAAUUACAUAAAACAUUCCUUUCAUAGGUAUCUCAAAUUUAAAGGCGAUCCUCUUUUGGAUCCUUUCUAAAAGUGUAUUUCAAUUCUUGCUCAUUCAAAGAUAUUGCUUAUUCAAUUCUUAACAUGGGUUUGUUCUUGUUCAAUUAGAGAUAUGAAUUUAGUCCCUCGCUCUCUUUCUCCAUUUAAAAUCUUGAAAUUGAACUCAAUAGUUACUUAGGUUCUUAUUUUUCUUGUUGAUGUUGUUUUGUUGUUCCAAAGGGUUAGAUAAGAUAAAUAAAAAAGAAAAAGAAACAGAAGUUAGAUAAGAGAAAAGUGAAAAGAAAAUCAAAUAAAAUAAAAUUUAUACAAUAAUUUACCUCCCCGGCAACGGCGCCAAAAACUUAACACGAUCAAAGAGUUGAUGUCUUAUCCCAAGUGCAGGAGUAUCAAUGUAAUAAAUAACCCGGCAAGACCGGGCUCGAUCCACAGGGAUAUCAACUGUAUAAAUUAUAAAUAAUAUAUAUAAUUUAACAAAGAGUUAAAGAGAUCUUUGAGAUGUGAGAUUAAUGUGAGGAUUAAACAAUGAUAAAAACAAUUGUCAAGGUUAAAGGAUCCACUAAUGGUAUUAGAAAUAAAUAUAGUAUAAACUCUUUUUAUUACUCAACUGGAAACCAUACACAAAGAAGGUUCCAAUCGGAUGAUUUAUCCUUAAUAGUUCAUUAUAAAUUUUUAACAUGAUCAUAUUAAUUAUCUUAUUUUAGUAACACCAUACUUUUAAAUAUUAUCAGGAAUUCUUGAUGUUAACUUAUGUUAACAACAAAUCAAGUUCCUCUCAUAACAACAAUGUCGGCCGAAGACUAUGAAGGAUCAAGCAUUUAUUGUACCAAGUGUUAUACAAGACAAAUCUAGAUUAAUUAUUUAACAAGUAAGGUAUUAAGAAUUAGUAAGAUAAAAAGAUAAUACAUAUUAAUAACAAACUUUCUUGGAUAUAAACAUUGAAGUUCAUGUUGAGUUUAUAUUAUACAUAUUCUAACAUCAUUAGUAAAACAUUUUCACCUUGACAAAUUAAACUUAGCUAAACAUUAUGAAGAAGAGAAACAUAAAUAAACAAGUUAAGAACAUAGUUAUGAUACAAGUUAACUAAGUAUAGGAAAGGAAAUGAAAAGCAUAGACAAGAGAUUAAUAUAACAUGAAAGAAAACUUCAACAUUACAAAGAGAGAAAGAAAGAAAAUGAUCUUGAUAUGAACACCAAGAUGCCUAAAUGUAUGACAAAUACCUCUUUUUAUAGGCCAAAAAAAAUUAUUCAUUUGGUAAUUAACUAUUGAAUUAGUGGCCAACUAAUGACUUAGUGGACUUGGUGGUUUAGGUAUGGAUUUGUUUUCUGGACGAAAUGACAUUUCCACAAUCCAAAUUUGGCAAAGUGGUUUCAUACAAGUUGUAGGUAUCUGUAUUAGCUUUCCACCAAGAAGAAUGAUCUCAUUUGGACUUCUAGAACCUGAGAUAUGAACUAAAUAGUGUCUGGGCUGCAGGGCAGAUUCGGACUUCUCUUUUGAUGCUACGAUUUGGACUCCAAAACAGAAAAAUUGAGUCUUAGACUCUUCAUGAAUGUUUUAGGUCUAUGUCUUAGCUUUCUAUCCAUAUAAACCAAACUGAAAUCCAAGAUCUACAUCUCCAGAUAUGACCCAAUGAUUAAAUGGUGUUCUAGUUUGAAUUGAACUAGCAUCUCUUUUCUAAACUUAGCCCUUCUUUGUCCUUUCACUUUCAAUAGUUAAUCACAUCAAACAAUCCUUUGAAUUAUGAGAUAUACCUGCAUUUAAAAUGAGCAUUUACCAUAAAUUAAAGCUAUCUUAUCUUAUCAGACUUGUUAUUAUAAAACAUGCUUAAGUUAGGGAAUUUAAUGAUACUUUAAGUGCAAUAUGAUGAUAUAAAUCCUUAAUGAGAAUGCACUUUUAAGUACUAAUCACUCACCGACUUGAUUUUUUUAUUUUCAUUGAAGCAAAUAAUGUCCUUGCUAGAAUCCAGUUGUCGUUGUGAGUUUUUCUUCAGUUUAAAAAUUGUUGCCCUGGUUAUAUUUUAUAAAGCCCGUUUAUGAUAAUGGACAAGUCCCAUCUGGGCUGGAUAGUUUUUGGAUCAUGUUGCUUUCUCAGCAGAUUUCUUAAGACAUAUGUAAGCAAGAGCUUGUUUAAUCUUACCAUGCUCAUAGUGAAUUUAGAUGAUUGUCUCCUUAAAAGUAAAUCAAGGAUUUUUUUAAUUCAAUUUCUAAUGCAAAUUUUGCUAACAACCAUGCAAUCAAUUAUAGGUCACAUGAUUAGCACUUCUUCUUUAUCACAAAGGCUAGGAGGCCUGUAAUGCCUUUACUGUCUUUAUGAGACUCAACCAUUCAAGCCUCCUUUCAAAAUCUACUUCUCUCUUAGUAUAUUUGCAUUUUCUGCAUGAACUUUAUCUUUAAUGUACUUAAUUUUGAGGUUUAGUUCAUUUUGAUGAGGUUGUACUAUGUGUCAUGCCAUAUUAUGAACUUUUUUCUCUAAUUUUCCUUGUUGCUUAUCUGAAUGGCAGGUGAUGUGAAAAUUACCUUUCAAAAUAAUUCUUUUAUUCUUCUUACUAUAAUUAAUUGAUUAUAUAUUAUUGUGUGAUAUUUGGUUGUUUUGAAUGAUUCUGGUAGAAUAAUAUUUAAUUAAAAUUGAAAGUUACCCCAGACAAACUACUUCUACAAGGUCUUAUUCUUACUCAUCAUUAUUGGUGUCAUGAAUCAUCUUUUCCAUUCCUUUCUUUAUGGGGCACUCUUGUAUUCAACCAUGAACAAACAUGGUUUUUACACUAUAUUGUCAGUGUCCUAGUGAUUAAUUUCUUUUAUUGGUUGGACUUUUUGGUUUAAAGUGAACAUGGUUAAGGGUUUUUCUUUGUGUUAACUCUCUCAUAUUUAAAAGCAUUUUAUUGCUCUUAUUCAUGCUUGAUCAUGUUGAGGUGAAUUUAGUGAUGAUAGUAAUAAUGAAGUUAUGAUUAACUGAAGUUUUGUUUUUCCUUUUCUUUUUUACCAUCUUAUUUCUUCUUGUUAUCUGACAGGAGAGUUAAAGAAACUCAAGACACUUGUUAUAAAUGCAAAAAAACAUGGAAUAAAAGUAGUACCUGCAUUGGUCAAAAGGAUGCUAGAAAAGAAUUGCAAGAUGCCCAUGUGCAAGUUGCACAUGGAAUAAAACUCAAGACACUUGUUUCUCUUUGGGUUUGUGGACUUGUAUAAAGGUUCUGUCAGUGAGACAGUGAAACAACUCACAGAAUUGCAAGAUGCCCAUGUGCAAGUUGCAUAUAAGAAGUAUGUUUCCUAAAAAUGAUAUAAUUUAUUCCAACCUAAUAGCAUGAUUAGUCAGGUUUCAGGUUUCAAAAUAUUUUAUGGAUCCUCUUAUUGCUCCACUGCUUUCUUUAUAACAGGUUAUUUGAUGAUACUCGGAUUGAGCAGUUCUUCCAUAUGGACAUGGUAUGUUGCAUAACUCCUCAUGUGAAGGUUUUACUCGGGUUCUAUUACUUUAGUAGUUGCAAAUAGGACCUGCCUUCUUUUCAUGUUUUGAAAAUAGUUUCUUAUAGGUAUAAUGAUUUUACGAUGCUCACAGUUGGUGCCAUAGUCUUUCUCUCUUCUUCUUUUUUCUUCUGAAUAAGCUUGUGGAUUGAACUGCAUGUGCAGGGUAUGGAAUUUGAUUUAGACAUGCUCAAGAAAAUGUCAACAGAAUAUGUAGAGGCGAAGAAACAUGGCAUCAUAGGUGAUUAGUACUUAAAAGUGCAUUUUCAUUAAGGUUUUAUAUAAUCAUAUUGCACUUAAGGUAUCAUUAAAUUCCCUAACUUGAGCAUGUUUUAUAAUAACAAGUCAGAUACAUAAGAUAUCUUUAAUUUAUGGUAAAUAUUCAUUUUGAAUGCAGACAUAUCUCACAAUUUAAAGGAUUGAUUGAUGUGUUUAAUUAUUGAAAGUGAAAAGACAAAGAGAAGGCUAAGCUUAAAGAAGAGAUGUUGGUUCAAUUCAAACUGGAACAUCAUUUGGUUAUUGGAUCAUAACUGGAGUUGUAGAAUAUGGAUUUAGGUUUGGUUUAUAUGGAUGGAAAGCUAAGACAUAGGCCUAAAACUUUCAUGAAGAGUCCAAGAUUCAAAACGGUCGUUUUCAAGUUCAAAUAGUAGCAACAAAAGAGAAUUCAGAAUCUGUCCUGCAGCCCAGACACUCUUCAGUGUUCAGCCCAUAUCUCGAGUUCUAAAAGUUCAAAUGAGCUCAUUCUUGUUUUGUUGGAAAGCUGAGACAAAUGCCCAGAACUUUCAUGAGAUUAUCUGUUCAAAUUAUGAUGUUAGCAAUGAUGUUUUGUUCAGACAAUAAGAUAAUGGUUGUUACCAAGUCAAGAAGUGGUCACCCACUCAAUAAUUAGUCAUCAAAUCAAUAGUUCCAAAUUUUAGCCUAUAAAAGGAGGAUUUUGCCAUAUAUUUAGACAUCUUGGUGUUCAGAUCAAGAUCACUCUCUCUCUCUUUGUAUUUUGUAAUGUUCAAGUUUUAUUUUAAGUUAUAUUAAUCUCUUGUUUAUGUUUUUCAUUCCUUUACUAUACUUAGUUAACUUAUAUCAUGUUUAUGUUCUUAUAUUGUUUAUUUAUGUUUUUCUUCUUCAUUAUGUUUAGCUAAGUUAAUUUUGUCAAUGUGAGAAGGGUACACUAAUAGUGUAAGAAUAAGUAUAAUAUAAACUCAACAUGAACUUUAAUGUUUGAUACUAACAUGUUUUGUAUUUGUUAUCUUACUCACUCUUAAUACCUUGCUUGUUAAAUGGUUAAUCUAGAUUUAUGUUGUACAACCCUUGGUACAACAAAUACUUGGCACUUUCAUAGCCUAUAUAUGGUAUAACCGACACUUGUGCUAUGAAAGGAACUUGAUUUGUUGUUAACAUAAGUUAUCACCAUGAAUACCUGACCACAUUUACAAGUAUUGGUAUUACUCAAAUAAGAUAAUUAAUAUAAUCAUGUUAAUAAUUUAUAAUCCGAUUGGAACCUCCUUUGUGUGUGGUUUUCAGUUGAGUAAUAAAAAGAGUUUAUACUAUACUUAUUUGAAAUACCAUUAGUGGAUCCUCUAACCUUGACAAUUAUUUUAUCCUUGUUUAAUCCUUACAUCAAUAUCACAUCUCAAAAGUUCUCUUCAACUCCUUUUCAUUUGUUGUUUAUAAUUUUAUAUAAUUCACCUCCCUAUGUUCAACCCCAGUUUUGUCGAGUUAUUUAUUACUUCGAUACUCCUGCACUUGGGAUAAGACAUCAAUCUUUUGAUCGUGUCAAGAGAUAUGUUCUUUUAUCUGUCUCAUAUCCUUAUUUAUAGGUUAGAGAUUGAAUAAGCAUCAAAUCGUGAAAGUAACAUGUGUAUUCUUCCUCAAUAACUUGUAUCUGUAUUGCCUAGCAGAGCUAGUGAUUUUAGUUGUUACCAAAUGCAAAACUAGUUUAUCAAUUCACUUUUUUUUAACACUAAGAAGCUACAUUUACUUGUCAGUGAUUUUUUGAAUUUAUCUAAUUAUUGAUUUUUUUGUUAUACUCUCCAAUUUUUUCUAAGAUAAAUGGCCGGGGUGGUAGAGUUUUUCUAAAUAUAUUUGAUUGCCUAGUUAUUUCCUUAACAGUUUGUGUUUAUUCUUACUAUUGAUUUGUUACUCAACCUAAAAAUUUCUCUGUGAUUUCUUAUCUAUAUCAUUUAUGGAGUUGUAUAAAUUUUGAAGCACAUAUCAUUUAUAGUUUAAAUUUCCAUUUCAAAAUUCAUUCAGUAUCUAAUAACGUAAUUUAUUUACCACACUUCUACUUGUUUUUGUGUUUUUUCAACAAAAGCAAUCAAGGUAGUAGAUGUCCAAAACAUACAGCAUAUAUCAGAUGAUAGGGAAUUUAUUGGAGAUGAAGUUGAGAUGAUCACAGAGAAUUGAAAUGUCUAAAGGCAAGUGUUUUACCAGCAAAUAGGACUAAAUCAAACCCAUGCUCAAAACGAUGAACAACAACAUCAACCACAACACAAAAAACAUGAACAACAAGAUGAUGAUUUUGGUGAUGAAUUUAGUCAUCAACUGGAACUGCAACUAAUUGAAGAAGAACAGCUACAACAAAAACAAGAGGAUCAUGAAUUGGAGCUGUAACUUUCUAUAAAACAACCCUAAUAAUGUAGCAACAAAAUGGUGAGGAAUUAUGUUACAAAAACUAGGACAAGUAGGAAUCCUAUGGUUUAGGACAUAAUUAUCUAGCAAGGUGAUCAUUCCAAUCGAGGAUGCUGCGGAAUUUUGUGAUUAGACUGCUGCAAUUCUAACCUCCAUUUAAGACCAUCCCAGAACCUUUUCAGUUUAUGAAAGAGAAAGCUGUUGGGUUUUCUGGAUAGGUUUUUCAAGUUACUGAAUUUAUUAUCAAAACACAAAAAAGAUAUCUCUGUAAAACAUUUGUCAAUAUAUGUUCAGAAUGGCAUCUUGAAACAGUUGGAUAAUUUUUACUGUUCUUCUUUGCCAUUGGUCUGCAUCCUCAUGAAGUCUAUAAACCUAGCUUUUCCAGUUCCAUUAGGCCCUUUGUCCCACCCUCUUAGCACCAAGAAGAUUGUUUUCCUGCUAAUAAAAGUUCAUAUUGGUUUUCUCUCGUUUAUUUUAGUCCACUGGAUUCAAGUUACUGUGUCACAAUCAUCUUUGGAUUAUUCAAUGUGUUUCAUUAUCAAUACCUCGUGAAUCAUGUUUCACUGAAGGAAGCAAUUGAAGUGUAUUUCUUUUUCUUUUAUGGUUUCAGCUGUUCUCAUUUAUGUUUAAUUAAUGAAAGGAGGAAACAUUAGUUUCUUCUUGAUCAUCACCAUUUUCAAUGAUUCAAAUUAUAUGAAAUGGCAUGGAGAUGGAUUUUUGCAAGAGUAAGUUAUUUGAGCUUAGCCUAGAACAGAGUAUUGAUUAAACAGGUAGAUAGCAAAAUUCUUAUUUGACCAUUCCCCCUCAAUUCCUCACAUGAUUACAUGAACUAGUAAACUACAGAGGGAAGAAAAUUUGAGGGGAAACAUGCAAGUACAAUAAAUACCCCAAUACCCAAACCUUCCAUAUAGCCCUUAACUCUAUUCAAACAGAAUUUUCCUAUGACUCAAUCUCAACAAUAUGAAGUUUGCCCUCCUCAGACAAGCUAUCCAAGCUAAAACCAACCAACCCAGAAUUCAAAUUAUACACAAAAUCAACCACAUUUGAGUCCACAAUGCACUUCCUUGGCUUAGCAAAUAAAUAAACAUCAAACUUGCCACACCUUUUAACCUCUAUGCAAACUUUCGCAACCAAUUCAUUGCUAUAGUUCCCCACCCUCUCUUCAGUCACACCACUACUUUCACCCCUGUAUCCAUCAUCAAGCUCUAAUAAUUCAGCACCACCUUUCACUUCAAACUUUAGCCCCUUAAUGGCUCCACCUACAUUGAACAUGUUAAUUAGCCCCAGGGGUACAAAGCUGAACCCAGGUGCUAAAACCUUGAUUGGGUGUUACAGUGAAAAUGUCAUGCUCAAGGACUUUGAGUGACACUGACAAUGCUGCAUUGUAAGGGAGGGUGAUUAGUUCUCCUGUCCGGUGAUAAUAGAAAGCACAAUUAUCAUCCCAGUUAGGGUCCGUGGCAACUUCAGUGAUGAGGUGAACAUCACGACCCCUAAUAGUGCCUGUUAGGGCCUCAAAUGUGGUUUGGUGGAAAGCGUUCUUUCUUUCAGUGCUGCUCCUUGGUAAUUGUAGACACCUAGGACCCCUGUGAACUUGUUCAUGCUAUAUAUUUUCCAUUGGUUGCAAUCAAAGAAAAACUGUUUAAGAAAUUCCUCAUAAUGCAACAUUUCUAGGAUAAGAAAUUAGCUAAAAUUCUUUGUUGUGGUUUAUUGUCUCUAUGAGAUUAGGAUCCUUCUUUCUUGGAUUUCUUAAUGCCAAAAAACAGCUUUAAUUAUUACCAACGGUAUAGAUAAGACCUUAUUAAGAUUCUAACGGUAAAUUUAUAUGCCACGUCGAAUCCACAAAAUACUAGUCCUUUUACUCGGUUAUAAGAACAUUGACUAUCAUUCCUUCACAGCAAGGUUCAUGUUUUUUCUAUGAAUUUAUGGCUCUUAGCUUGACGUGUAAUGUUUUGAGCAUGUACAGGUGGUGGUUAGGGUUUGGGUGCAUGGAGAAUACAAUGUAUCGUGUGUGGGUUGAUUUUUGUUUCUUUUAGUGCACCAAAACCAUUAUUAGUGCUGAUAUGUGUACAUGUACUCGCUUUUUGGCGUCUCUUUCUUGAAAGGAACAAUGAACCCCAUUUUUGUAAAAAAUCUAUCCUUCAAAUUCAGGACUGGAAAGCUGAAGCAUAUGCGGGCUGAAACACUGUAGCCCAAUCAUAGCAGGGCUUUAUUGUUCAGACAUUGAUACCAUAACCAAAUCAUUACUCAGAUCCAAGUUGGUCCAUGUCUAAGAGAGAUUGGAUCGCAUCAAGAAACAAAACCAUGGUUGUGAAACAAAUCAGGUUGCUUCUAACAACAAAAACUCUUACAGGAAAAAUAAAAAAACUUUUACUUCAGUUUGUUUAUUUUUCUCUUCUAAUAAAUAUGUUUUCUUGCUCAUCCAAGACAGGGAGCAUGAUAACUGAUCUAUGAGACACAUUAUAAGAUUUUGAUCCAAUAAUUCACGUAAAAUUUAUUUUUUCUUAAUGAUUAAUAUUUUUUAAUGUAAAAUUUAUAGAUAAGUAAUAGAAACUGAAUGUGUGAUGGAGCCAAUAUUCUAUGAGAGAAAAAAAUUAUGUUGGUUGUUGUAACCCAAUUUUGGCCCAUUGGCUUUUUAACUUAAUUUUACAGGGUUUAAAAUGUAAAAUUAAAAGAUCGGAGAUUUAUUUCAAUGAAAAGUGUGAUUUGUCAACUUGCGUGAAAACUAGGGACUACAAUAUGCUUUUGUCAUUUUAACCUUAUCUUCAAGAUAAUCUUUGUCUUCAAGAUAAUGAUAGUUAUCCGCUUUCAAAUUUGAUUCUUAAUCAAAUUCAAACUUCAAAGAAGAGAAUAAGUUUGAUUGAAACUUUGUUUCUCACACGCAAAGGAACUCUAACACUAUAAAUACAGAUCUCAGUGUAUGUACAAAAAGGAGGAGGAUAUAGAAAAAACAAAGGAAACCCUAGAGGGGGGAUAAACACAAAAAACCCCAAGAGGAGGUCAUUACAAGAAAAGCCUAAAAGAAAAAAAAGAAACAACUCGAAAGGGAGGGGGGGCUGGCAUUCCACUCUCUACUCUCUACCGCCACCCCCCCUUCAUCGAUUUUCUUUCUUCCUCUUCUUCCCCAGUCACUAAGAACAAACAAAGCAAGCCCUCCAUUGCUUUUCUUUUCCUCUCCCUCAAGACCAACCAAACCGGCAACAACAGCAGCCCCUCUUAGUAGCAGCAGUAAGGCUUGGUUACUUACAAUCACGGGAACGGUGGAGUCUUUAUCAUCCCGGAUGAAAACAGCAGCUCCCUUACUGUCAUGGCACCAUUACCAGCUCCAGCAGUAGUCCAACAACAUCCAGCAAACAACAUUGCGCGCCUCUUCCAGCAAACAACAUUCCAGCUCCAUCAACAUCCAGCAAACAACAUUGCGCGCCUCUUCCAGCAAACAGCAUUGCAGCUCCAUCAACAUCUAGCAACCAACAUCGUGCACCUUGAGCAUGUACUAACCAUAGCAGCAACAACCUUCUUUUCUUAGUAGAGAGAGGACGAAUACACAGAAAUGCAAAUGAGAGUAGGGGUGGCACAAGAUGAGAAGAAAUAGAGGAGAGAGUUCCUUUCCGGCCAGCAGCCUUACGCCUGGAUCACCAUCGCCCUCGGCUUACAACAACCAGGUAACUUCUUCUUUUUUCUAUUUUCCUAGAUUAAUUAGUUUGUUAUUGUUACAUGCAUGCGUGAAUUACUCAAGCAUGCAUGCAACAAUGCUUUUUUUUUUUUACUGGACCACAAAAAUAAAAAUAAAAACAACAAUAUAUAUAUAUAUAUAUAUAAACAAAAAUAGUUUCUAUUUCUUGUAAUAUAUAUUUUGCGGAUUUAUUCACUGGCGCCAGAGUCAGGAAUACCGUACAUUGUGGGUUGCACAAUAUUUACCAACGUCAGAGUUGGAAAUAUUCAUAGGUGAAUAUUCACUAACGCUAGAGUCAGAAAUAUUAUAGGAUGACCAUAAGAACGGAACACAAACAAACCUUUAGCAAUUUAAGACAAAACCAGCAAUAUAGCUUGUCUAAGGUAGGACGCUUAAGGGGUGAUAAUAUAUUUCCUUUCGCGUAACCAGUCUCGUACCAUAGAAUCUCUGUUGACCAGUUAGGGUUCCUAGUGACCAUAAUAUUAGGUGGCGACUCCUUGAACAAGAACUUUUCCCCUAAAAAAACACGAUGCCAAAUAUCGGUUCUUUUUCCAAUCGAGAGAUUAAUUUUUUAAUAGGUCGCCACGAUGUCCGGGUGUGACAUUAGUGAUAAAAAAAACUUAGAGACCAAAUAGAAUGAGUUGUAGCAAUCACAGUGUUUUAUGAGGAAAACUACAGUGCUUUCCCCACAUGAUUUAGUUUUUUGCUACAUGAUUUAGCUUUUCUGUUAAUAAAAUAGAAAAAAAUACAAAGCUAAAUUCUCAAUCAACUCAAUAUUAAAAAAAAUAAAAUUGAUAAAGACAAUUUUGGAAAAAAUCAUAAAAAAAUCAUGUAGGGAAACAUUGUAGCAAUCCAUAGUGUUUUGUGAAGAAAGCUACAGUUGUAAUUCUAACCCAACUCAAUAUCAAGAAAAUAAAAUCGACAAAGACAAUUUUAGAAAAAAUCAUAAAAAAAAAACAUGUAGGGAAACACUAGGGGUGAUCAUUUUCGGUUCGGUUCAGUUUUUUUUUACAGUAGCCAAAUUUGUUUUUUUUUUAAAAACCAAAACUGGUUCAAACUAACCGUUUUCGGUUCGGUUCGGUUAUUUUAGAGAAAAAACCGGUUCAAAUUGGUUUGGUUCGGUUUGGCUUGGUUUCUGUUCGGUUCAUUUUUUUGGUUUUUUCGGUUUCAAGCUUAUAAAACCGAAACCAAACUGGUUAGUUUUUUGAAAAUUCUAAUCGGUUUUUUUUCAUGGUUCGGUUUUUUCGGUUAUUGUUUUUCGGUUUUCUCGGUUUAAUCGGUAUUUCAGUUUUUUUGCUCACCCCUAGGAAACACUGUAGCAAUUGAUUAGUACUUAAAAGUGCAUUUUUAUCAAGGUUUUAUAUCAUCAUUUUGCACUUAAAGUAUCAAUAACUCCUUAACUAGAGCAUGUUUUAUAAUAUCUUGUCUAAUACUAUAAGAAACCUUUAAUUUAUGGUAAAUGUUCAUCUUAAAUGCAGGCCUAUCACAUAAAUGAAGGGAUUGAUUGAUGAGUUUAACUACUGAAAUUGAGAAGACAAAGAGAGGGCUAAGCAUAGAAAAGAGAUGCUGGUUAAAUCCAAACUGGAACACUAUUCAGUCAUUGGGUCAUAUCUGGAGCUGUAGAUCUUGGAUUUCAGUUUGGUUUAUAUGGCUAGAAAGCUAAGACAUAGGCCUAAAACAUUCAGGAACAAUCCCAGACUCAAUUAUGCUAUUUGGAAGUCCAAAUCUUAGCAUCAAAAGAGAAGUCUGAAUCUGUCCAGCAGCCCAGACACUGUUUAGUGUUCAGCCCAUAUCUCAAGUUCUAGAAGUCCAAAUGCACUGAUUCUUUUUCUGUUGGAAAGCGGAGACAAUAUCCUAGAACUUUCAUGAGACAAUCUGUUCAAAUUCUGAUGUUAGCAAUGAUGUUUUGUUCAGACAAGAAGAUAAGGAUUGUCACCAAGUCAAGAUGUGACCACCCACUCAACAAGUAGUCAUCAAAUCAAUAGUUCCAAAUUUUAGCCUAUAAAAAAAGGCAUUUGUCAUGCAUUUAGGUAUCUUGGUUUUUAGAUCAAGAUCAUUUCCUUACUUGCUUUCUUUCUUUGUAGUUUUAAUGUUCUAGUUUUAUUUCAUGUUAUAGUUUCAUUAAUAUCUUGUUUAUGCCUUUCAUUUCCUUUACUAUACUUAUAUAAUCAUGUUCUCCUCUAUUUUAUUUAUGUUUCUCUUCUUCAAUAUGGUUAGCUAAGUUUAUUAUGUCAAGGUAAAAAGGUUUCACUAAUGGUGUUAGGAUAAGUAUAAUAUAAACUCAAUAUGGACUUUAAUGAUUAUAUCCUAAACAACCUAGUAUUAACAUGUCUUAUCAUUUUUAUCUUAUUAAUUCUUAAUACCUUGCUUGUUAAAUGGUUGAUCUAAAUUUGUGUUGUAUGACACUUAGUACAACAAAUGCUUGGCACUUUCAUAGCCAACCGUAUGGUAUAACCUACACCUAUGCUAUGAAAGGAACUUGAUUUGUUGUUAACAUAAGUUAGCAUCAUGAAUUCCUGACAAUAUUUAAAAGUUUGGUGUUACUUAAAUAAGAUAAUUAAUAUGAUCAUGUUAAUAAUUUAUAAUGAGCUAUUAAUGACAAAUCAUCCGAUUGGAACCUCCUUUGUGUGUGGUUUCUAGUUGAGUAAUAAAAAGAGUUUAUAUUAUACUUAUUUGAAAUACCAUUAGUGGAUCCUCUAACCUUGACAACUGUUUUUAUCAUUGUUUAAUCUUCACAUUAAUCUUACAUCUCAAAGUCUUCUUUAACUCAUCAUCAUCAUCAUCAUCAUCAUCAUCAUCAUCAUCAUCAUCAUUAUUAUUAUUAUUAUUUAUAAAGUUAACCUCUUUGUUGUUCGAUCCCGGUCUUACCGGGUUAUUUAUUACUUUGACACUCCUACACUUGGGAGAAGACAUUAAUCUUUUGGUCGUGUCAAGUUUUUGGCACCGUUGCCAGGGAGGUAAAUUCCUGUAUAAAUUAUAAUAUUUAUUUUAUUUUCUCUUUUCACUUUUCUUGUAUCUAACUUUGUUUCUUUUUGUUUUGUUUCUUUUUGUUUUGUUUCUUUUUGUUUUGUUUUCUUCUUCCAUUUGCAUGAGAGUUUAAGUGGUAGACUUUGUAGGGUAUCCUCAUCAUUUUCAGAAAAUAUGGCUAAAGAAGAUAACCAAAGAAGAUAACCAGUCGCUUCAUAAUGAGAAUAAUGAGAAUAACUGUGUUAGAACACUUAGAGACCACAUGAAUCUCACAAGAAUUUUCCCCCCUGAUACAUCUCAUUUUAAUUUUAAGCCAGACAUUAUUCAACUUUUACCUUCUUUUCAUGGCUUAGAUCUAGAAAAUCCAUACUUGCAUUUAAGGGAAUUUGAAGAAGUCUGUAACACCUAUAAUGACUCAAAUUGUAGCAUGAAAACCAUCAGAUUAAAGCUUUUUCCUUUUUCAUUAAAAGAUAAAGCCAAAACAUGGCAACAAAAUCUUAGGUCAGGAUCCAUUCGUGCUUGGGAUGAAAUGCAACAACAAUUUUUAAAGAAGUUUUUUCCGUCCCACAGAACAAACUCUUUCAAAAGACAAAUCAUCACUUUCACUCAAAAACCAGGAGAAACAUUUUACCAAUAUUGGGAUAGGUAUCGAGACUUGCUUAAUACUUGCCCUCAUCAUGGUUUUGAAACUUGGAGAUUGGUUUCACAUUUUUAUGAAGGGUUAACUCCUAGAGAUAGACAAAUGGUGGAAUUGAUGUACAAUAAAACUUUUAAAGAUAAAGACCCUAAUGAAGCAAUGGAGUACCUAGACUUGCUAGCUGAAAAUGCUCAAAAUUGGAACAUUACAGGCACUUAUGAGGCACCAAGUAAAACCCAACCACAUACAUCUAGUGGAGGUAUAUACAACCUUAUGGAAGAUCAUGACCUCCAAGCCAAGUUUGCAUCUUUAGCUAGAAAAGUCGAGGCACUAGAAUUGAAAAAGAGUGGUCAAUUAAAAUCUGUUCAAGACAUUGUGUGUCAAAUAUGUGAAACCAAUGAACACUCAACCAAUAACUGUCCAACUUUGCCUUCUUUCAAGGAAUGCCUCCAUGAACAAGCCCAUGCUUUAAACAGUUUCCAAAGGCCCAAUCAUAACUCAUACUUGCAAACAUACAACCCUGGUUGGAGAAAUCACCAAAAUUUCAGUUGGAAGAGUGAUAACAAUAAUGCACAAACUUCACAGCCACCAUUUCAAACACAUCAUAAUUUCUAAAAUUCUCAUGGAUAUGCACCUCUUUAUGCUCCACCUCCUAGAAGAAAUCUUGAGGAAACAUUGCAUCCAUUCAUUGAAAAGCAGGAGACAAUCAACACUCAACUUGCUCAAAGCAUGACAGAUUUUAAAGAUACUCUUGCAAAAUUGACAUCUGCUCUCAGUUUUCAAGAGAAAGGUAAGUUUCCAUCUCAACACAGAAAAAUCCAAAGGGGCAAUACAAUGCAAAUGCAAGUAGUUCGGGAAGCCAACACAUGGAUCAAGCCAAAUUAGUCAUCACUCUUCGUAGUGGUAAGGUUAUUGAAAAACCCAUUCUUGAACCUUGUGAGAAAGAUGAUGAGUUAAUCUUUGAGGGUAAGGAAGAGGUUAAAUCUGAACAUUGCAAAGAAAAGACUGAUUCUUCGCCAGCACUUCCAUUUCCUCAUGCCAUGACCAAACAAAGGAAAGUCAAUCACAACUCUGAAAUCUUUAAAACUUUCAAACAGGUAAGGAUCAAUAUACCUUUGCUGGAUACUAUUAAACAGGUACCUUCUUAUGCUAAAUUUUUGAAAGAUUUGUGCACUAUGAAGAGAAAACUGAAUGUGAAAAAGAAAGCCUUUUUAGCCGAACAAGUAAGUGUCAUUCUUCAGAACAAUAAUGAUUUGAAAUAUAAAGACCCUGGUUGUCCUACAAUUUCUUGCUUUAUUGGAGAACAUAAAAUUGAAAGAGCUUUACUUGAUCUUGGAGCUAGUGUGAAUUUACUUCCAUAUUUAGUUUAUCAAAGUCUCAAUCUAGGUGAGUUAAAACCAACUUCUGUAACUCUUUUACUUGCCGAUAGAUCUGUAAAAGUGCCUGGAGGAAUAAUUAAAGAUGUGUUAGUACAAGUCAAUAAAUUCAUUUAUCCUGUGGAUUUUAUUGUCUUGGACACACAACCUGUUGAAGCAUGUAAUUCAUUUCCUGUUAUUUUAGGACGUCCGUUUCUUGCAACUUCUAAUGGAUUGAUCAAUUGUAGGAAUGGACUGAUGAAGCUAUCUUUUGGAAACAUGACAUUGGAGAUGAAUAUUUUCAACAUUUGCAAGCAACCUGGAGAUGAUAAUGAUUUACAGGAAGUGGACUUUACUGAAAAAUUAGUUCAUCAUCAAUUUCAAACCAUUUCUAGUGAAAGUGAGAUUGAUGAAUCUGAUGAUUUGCAAAUGGUUUAUUUUCAGGAAGAAUCAAAGGUAAAUAGUUGGAGACCAAAAAUUGAGGAAUUGCCACCACGAUCAAUUGAGUCCAUACCUUCAAGUGUUCAACCACCAAAACCUGAUUUGAAGCCGCUACCAUUCAAUCUCAAAUACUCAUUAUUGGGAGAAAAUGAAACUUUUCCUGAAAUAAUCUCUUCCAAACUUAAUGCACAUCAAGAAGGUAAGUUAUUACAAACUCUGAAAAUGCACAAAAAUGCAUUAGGAUGGACCAUAGCUGACAUAAAAGGAAUUAGUCCUUUGAUUUGCACACACACAAGAUUUAUUUGGAGGAAAAUGCUAAACCCUCUAGAGAAAUGCAACGAAGGCUUAAUCCUAAUAUGAAAGAAGUAGUGAAAAAAAAAUUCAUUAAGCUUCUAGAUAAUGGAAUCAUUUAUCCUAUUUCUGACAGCAAAUGGGUAAGUCCUACCCAAGUUGUACCCAAGAAGUCUGGAGUCACUGUGAUAACAAAUAAGAAAAUGAGUUAAUUCCAACUAGGCCUAUGACUGAUUGGCGCAUGUGCAUUGACUGUAGGAAACUUAAUUCAAUGACUAGAAAAGAUCAUUUUCCUUUACCUUUCAUGGAUCAAAUCCUAGAAAGAGUUGCAGGUCAUGAAUUUUAUUGUUUCCUAAAUGGCUAUUCAGGUUACAACCAAAUUGAAAUUGCAUUGGAAGAUCAAGAGAAGACUACUUUUACAUGUCCAUUUGGUACUUUUGCAUAUCGAAAGAUGCCUUUUGGAUUAUGUAAUGCACCAGCCACAUUUCAAAGAUGCAUGCUCAGUAUAUUUAGUGAUAUGGUUGAACGUUUUCUUGAAAUUUUUAUGGAUGAUUUUUCUGUUUUUGGCGAUUCAUUUGAUGAUUAUUUGACUAACUUAGAAAAGGUUUUGAGCAGGUGUGAAGAGAAGAAUCUUGUAUUGAAUUGGGAAAAAUAUCACUUUAUGGUAACAAACGGAAUUGUGCUUGGUCACAUUGUUUCAUUGAAAUGAAUUGAGGUUGACAAAUCUAAAAUCGAGUUAAUUGUUAACUUGCCAACACCAAAAUUAAAGAUGUUAGAUCAUUCUUAGAACAUGCUGGUUUUUAUAGAAGGUUCAUGACACGAUCAAAGAGUUGAUGUCUUAUCCCAAGUGCAGGAGUGUCAAAGUAAUAAAUAACCAGGCAAGACUGGGGUCGAACCACAGGGAGGUCAACUAUAUAAAUUACAAAUAAAGAUAAAGAUUUGAAGAGAAUAAUAACAUAAAAGGAGUUGAAGAGAGUUUUGGGAUGUGAUAUUGAUGUAAGGAUUAAACAAUGAUAAAACAGAUGUCAAGGUUAGAUGAUUCACUAAUGGUAUUUCAAAUAAAUAUAAUAUAAACUCUUUUUAUUACUCAACUGGAAACCACACACAAAGGAGGUUCCAAUCAGAUGAUUUAUUGUUAUUAGCUCAUUAUAAAUUAUUAACAUGAUCAUAUUAAUCAUCUUGUCUAAGUAACACCAUACUUAUAAAUAUCAUCAGGCAUUCAUGUUGCUAGCUUAUGUUAACAACAAAUCAAGUUCCUCUCAUAACAACGAUGUCGGUCGAAAACUAUGAAGAAUCAAGCAUUUGAUGUACCAAGUGUUAUAUAACACAAAUCUAGAUUAACCAUUUAACAAGCAAGGUAUUAAGAAUUAGUAAGAUAAAAAGAUAAGACAUGUUAAUAGCAAACUUUCUUGGAUAUAAACAUUGAAGUCCAUGUUGAGUUUAUAUUAUACAUAUUCUAACACCAUUAGAGAAACCUUUUUACCUUGACAUAAUAAACUUAGCUAAACAUAAUGAAGAAGAAGAACAUAAAUAAACUAGAUAAGAACAUAGUUAUGAUGAAAAGCAUAAACAAGAAAUUAAUGAAAGCAAAACUUAAGCAUUACAAAAUAUAAAAAAAGAAAGUAAGAACAUGAUCUUGAUCUAAAAACCAAGAUGACUAAAUACAUGGCAAAUGCCUCCUUUUAUAGGCUAAGAUGUGGAACUAUUGAUUGGUUGACAAACUAUUUGGAUGGUGGCCAACCACUGAUUUGGUGGCUGGUUUUUGACAUUAUUGGCUGCUGGUUAUUGACAUUGUUGGCUGGUUAUUGAUAUUGUUGGCUGGCCAAAACGUCAUUUCUAACAUCAUAAAUUGAGCCAUUUGUUCCAUGAAAUCUGUGGGCAAUUGUCUUAGCUUUCCAACAAAAAAAACCAGAGCUCAUUUGGACUUCUAGAACUCAAGAUAUGAGCUGAAAAUCAAACAGUGUUUGAGCUGCAGGACAGGUUCGGACUUCUCCAUUGUUGCUAAGAUUUGAACUUGAAAACGGUAGAAUUGAGUCUUGGACUCUUCAUGAAAGUUUUAGGUCUAUGUCUUAACUUUCCAUCCAUAUAAAGUAGACCUAAAUCAGAGUUCUACAACUCCAGUUAUGAUCCAAUAACCGAAUAGUGUUCCAGUUUGGAAUUGAACCAGCAUCUCUUCUCUUAGCCUAGUCCUUCUUUUGUCUCUUCACUUUCAAUAGUUAAUCACAUCAAUCAAUCCUUUGAAUUGUGAGAUAUACCUGCAUUCAAAAUAAGCAUUUACCAUAAAUUAAAGAUAUAUUAUAUUAUCAGAUUUGUUAUUAUAAAACAUGCUUUAGUUAGGGAAUUUAAUGAUACUUUAGUGCAAUAUGAUGAUAUAAAGCCUUAAUAAAAAUGCACUUUUAAGUACUAAUCAGUUCAUCAAAGAUUUUAGUGUAAUAUCUAAGCCCUUGAGUAACCUUCUAACAAAGGAUAAUAUUUUUUAAUGGACUGAACAUUGUGAAGAAGCUUUUGUUAAACUUGUUGCUACCUAAUUUUUUACCCAUGUUUUGAUAAAAAAAUUUUAAAAAAUAAAAAAUAAAAAUAAAAGGAUUUACAUGUGGCGAUAACAUAGAGCAUCAGGGUUAAGGAAACAAUAUGUCAAGGAGAUAAUUACUGAAUCAUAUAUAACUACUGCAAUAUAAAAUACCAUAGAUAUAUGAUUUGAUUCGUGCUGUUUAGGAAAAAUAAUCACUGCAAUAGAAAAAUACCAUAUAUAUAGGAUUUGUUGGUGCUGGUUAUAGAAGACAAUCUCUGUAAUAAUUAUUAUAAUAUUUCUUUAAAUAACACGUAUAGAGAUUUUCUAUAUAAAUGAACAUCCAGCCAUAUACAGAGGGGGGGAAGAAAAUUUACAGAGGACAAAUUUUUUUUAAAGAGAGAAAUUUAGGGCAACCAUAAAAAAACCUAAACCUAAUUUUUUUCUCUCGGCCGAAAACAAGCCAUCGCCCCCUCUCCCCUGUUGUUUUUUUGGUUUGCAGUCUCCCCCCCAGCUAUCUUCUUCUCCUCCCUCAGCUCCCACACGCAUGACCUUCCCUUUACGCAAAAAGAGGCUUUUAAAGCGCUCUGAAUUUCCUUAGAUUUCUAAAUUUUUGUCUCUCCUCCUUGCGAUUUACGAGUCGCAAAACUCUUGAAAUACUAAGGGAAAAAUGAGCUUUUAAAGCACAUGGAAUCUCUUUGGAUUUCUAUCUUAAUAAAUUUAGUCUGAAUCAAACACAGAUUUCAAGAGAUCUGCAUCGGUUCUCCUUGGUACUUUGUAGACAUAUCUAAGGGUGUGAUCCACAUUGACCAAGGGUUAUUUCUUUUUUAAAACUUUCAGUCCAAGUUUGUUCGUCAUAGCAAAAUGUAUCCUAGGAAAACACCAACACCAUAACAAUUAUAAAGCAAACCAAACACCAAGCAGCUUACCUUAGGUAGGGCGUGCUAGGGGUGCUAAUACCUUUCCUUUACGCAACCAGUCCCUUGCCUUAAAAUCUCUGAAAGACCAGUUAGGUUUCCUAGUGACCAUAAUACUAGGUGGCGACUCUAUUAUUCACAAAACAAAAGACCCCGAAAUCAAUCGAGGAUCGCCGCGACACCGCGCUCCGCUCGCGAGGGUGCGACAGGAUGGCGACUCCACUCGGGACCCUAGGACUAAGCUUGGUAAUUGUUUUUUUUAUUAUGCUAUGUGUUGUUUGUUUUCUUAUAUGAAUGAUACUUUGUUUAAAAGCUUUAGCAUGCAUCUUUACAUUCUGUCAUACAUGGUAUAGUCAUGCAUCACUUUAUUAUUAUUAUCUUUUUUAGGGCACACACAUUUAACUUUAAGUUAAGUGGGGAACUAGCAACUUGCCUUAUGACUUGAGUCAAGGUUUAAGUUUGUGUAAACCCCAACUCUUUGCUGAGUGUUUAGAUUGAUAUUGAUUGAUACAUGUGCCAUCCCACUAUCUGCUAAACCCCCAUAUUACCUUUACGAGGGCGAUCACUGGGACAGCAAGAGACCCUUUUUUAGAGACCACGUAGUAAACCUACCAUAUGUCUCACGUAAAAGAACUAGAACCUAUCCUUAGGUUGUAUGCUCCAUAAUAUCUUUUGCAUCAAAACUAGUCUAACCCCAAGGCAUCUUGAAUUCCAGGACUUGUGAACGAAAUGGCCACCAUCACUAAAUCUUCCAUCAUAGAGUAUGGGAAAAAUUCUGAACUGUCACAAUUGACUGAAGGAGACUGCCUUAGAAGCGAUGCUAAGAAGAUGUCACCAAUCAAGAACCUGAAUUGCAUUAUGAAUGAGGUGAACAAGUUAACGACUCAUUUUCAGAAUGUUGAUAAAGAUGCAUUUUUUAGGAAAUACGGACGUUUGGUGGAAAUUGCAAAGGUAGAAGUUUUAAGCCCAGCUGUGCGAGCUUUAGUUCAUUUUUGGGAUCCAGACUACCGGUGUUUUUCUUUUGGAAACAUAGACCUAUGUCACACUAUUGAGGCAUAUGGGAUAUUGACUGAGUUUCCAAACAAUCUGUAUCAGAUUUAUUUGCCUUUGAGAUCUGACAAGAUCAUCCCCGAACUGUCAAAACUGCUCAGAAUCUCCAACUUAGAAAAGUUUUUGGAAAAGAAUGCUAUCGGUUUGAAAUGGAGGAUGCUAGAAAUUGAACUUGAAAAGAAGUCAGGAUUAGAAAAAGAGAGAUUGAUUGCCUUGGGCGUAUUUGGCCUUGUGUUGUUCCCAAGCCAGACGGGUGUAGUGAGUUUGAAGGCCGCUGCUGCUUAUGUAGAGUAUGAGAAUACACAAAUCAAUCCAAUGGCUGCUAUUUUAGCCGAAACCAUCUUGACACUUAACCAUUGUAGGAGGACCGGAAAAGGAGCAAUGAGAUGCUGCACGUAAUUGUUGUAUAUCUGGAUGGUUAGCCAUAUCGAAAUAAAAAAGUCUGUCUUCAAUAAUUUUUGGUGGUUCACCCAAAGACCCCUGAAGGUAGUAGAAGAAGAAGAAUGGGGAGAUCUAGACAACCAAGGUUGGGUUGAAAAAUUAGAAGGUUUGCCUAAUAGUGAUUUUAAGUGGAAAGCCCCAUGGGUAACGACAGUGAAAGUCCUAAUGAGUUGUGGACAAAGACGUUGGGUGCCAUUGGUAGGGAUUACAGGUUAUGUGAGUUAUGCUCCUGCCCUAGUGGUAAGGCAACUUGGGGGCAUGCAGUUUGUUCCAAGGACUAUGGGAAUUGCUCAGUUCUUUGGUUUGUUCAAAGAUCCUGUUGCACAAGAAGUUUUGGAGAUCAUUAAACAAGAUUGAAAGCAUCUGGUUUUGGUUGAGAUAGAAGGUUUAAAGGAUCCAAGUGCAAGUGAAGGAUAUGCAAGAUGGAGAGACUUAGCAGCUUCAGCCAUGCCUUGUGUAGGAGUCAAAUCUCCCCAAACUGUAGAAGAGCCUAUUAAGAGGAAAAGGGUCAAUAAUGAAGAGGAGUUGAGAAGACAAGUGGAAAAACUUCGGAUAGAGUUGAGCAAAAGCAGAGAAGACAAGGCAAUGUUGGAAGAAAUGAUGCUAAAAGAAGAUAAAAGGAGAGCAUUUCUAGAUGAGCAAAUACAAUCUAGAGAUGCGCGAAUAACAAAGCUUGAGUUAAAGCUGGGUGAGGAGAAGAUUGCUAGGGAAAGAAGUGAGAAGAAGCUAAGAAGGAUGAGUUUGGAUUGGAUGCAAAGUUGCUCUAAACUUGAAGCAAUAGAGAUUGACUUUAACGAUUGCUAAGCAAGUGCAUAAUAUUACCAAGAAAAAUUUGCACAAGUCCAGUUCGAACUGAUGGAUAGGAUUGGGAAGUAUGAGGAUUUGAACAAGAAAUAUAUGGAGUUAGAAAGCCGUUCGAUGGGGAUUGCAAAAAAAGAAAGUAAAAGGAAAGGUUUUGAGGUGGUUGAAAUAGAAUUAGCGGUUAAGAAGAAUGAGAUAAAAGUUAUGAGGAUAAAACUUGACAAGGAACGUGAAAAGGUGAAGUAUUUGAACGAGAAGCUAGCAGCAAUGGAAAAACACAAGGAUCAAAUCGACGCCAAUAACACUGCUUUGAACAGAACCAAUAUGUUGCUCAUAGAAAAGAUGACCAAGACAGAUGAGCAAAUGGACGAAGCUGCUGCACAUGCUCGAAUUAUUAGAAUCAAUACGCGGAAUGUGGGAGGGGACAUCAUUCGCUAUCGCCGAAGUCUAGCUGAAACCGAUGCCUUUCUAGGGAAGAUUGAGAACCACGACUUUGCCUUAUUACCUUUGGCUAGAGAGUUUGUGGAGGAAAGGGAUUAACAUGUUGUAUUUCCUUUUUAUUUCUAAAUGUAAUAAACUUAUCAAACAUUAAUGAAAAGGGCGUUGACCCAUCUUCUUAUGCAAAAUCUGUCUCUUGGUGAAUAUGAUUCAAGCAAACGACCUGAAAGGCAGUACUCCUAUCAAAGCAAUGUGACAAGAGAACCUAUGUUUAUAAUGUGGUGGCUAUUAUUCGUUCACAAGAAGGCUGCAUCCAUACCCAAUGUACAAAUGCAUUCUUAUCACAAUCAUGCAUUAUAUCAUGCAUUUUCUUAUACAUCUAUGCACGCAUAUGCAGACCUAGAAAUAUAGGUCCCCCUUCUAGAAUCCACAACACUUAACUAAGAAAAAGGAUGGAAAAUAAAGAAAGGUCACACCAAAAAGCUCAGUACCAAAAAGAGAUUGAAGGAGUUUGGAAUGAUGUUGCGCACCUAAUCGGUUUUCUCAUGCAAAUGUUUUGAGACAACUUUUUCCUUUUAAUGAGAUCAUGCAUUUCCAAAAGUUCAUCUUGGUGUUUUUACACAUCACUUUCCGUUUUCAAACUGGAUCUUCCAUAAUAACAUCUACACUUUACACUGAGAUUGAAUGGCUGGACUUUAAAGAAUACAUAUUAGUUGUAGAAGAAGAAGAAUGAGAGGAAAUUAACAUUAGGGGAUUCACAAAAAUUAAUAAGAACAACAUGAACAAGCUUGGAAACCCGCUAAAGAGGAAUUUGAAACCAUAGAUGUGGGCAAUGAAAAAAUCAAGAGAGAGUUGAAGAUAGGGACUUUGAUCACCCCUAAAGAAAGAGAAGAGUUGAUUAUACUACUCCAAGAUUAUGUAGAUUUUUUUUUUCCUGGUCCUACAAGGAUAUGCCUGGUUUGUAUAAGGUACCACUAGUAGAAGGAUGCAAAUCGGUUAAGCAAAGGUUGAGAAGGACCAAUUUGAAUGUCUUGAUCAAGGUAAAGACAUAAAUUGAAAAGUAGUGGAAUGCUGGUUUUCUAGAAAUAGUCAAGUAUCCGCAAUGUGUGUCUAACAUAGUGGUAGUACCCGAAGAGGAAGAGAAAAUCAGAGUUUGUGUGGACUUUAAGGACUUAAACCGGACUAGCCCUAAAGACAAUUUUUUUCUAUCACACAUAGAUAUGUUAGUUGACAAUGCAGCUCGUAGCCCCAUAUAUUCCUUUAUGGACGGGUUUUCGGGCUACAAUAAGAUAAAAAUGGCGCAAGAGGAUAAUGAGAAGAAACCUUUGUAACACUAUGGGGAACCUUUUGCUACAAAGUCAUGCCAUUUGGGUUAAAGAACGUUGGGGGCACCUACCAAAGGGCCAUGUUGACUCUAUUUCACGACAUGAUGCACAAAGAGAUUGAAGUAUACGUGGAUGACAUGAUUGCUAAAUCUAGAGAGGGAGAGAACCAUGUCCAAAUAUUGAAGGAAUUAUUUGAAAGAUUAAGAAAGUACAAGUUGAGGCUUAACCAUGCAAGGUGUUCAUUCGAGGUGAAAUCUAUGAAAGUUGUUGGGAUUUAUGAUGAGUGACAAAAGGAUAGAAAUGGACCCCGGUUAAGUAAAGGCUAUUCAAUCUAUGCCAACUCCCAAGACUGAGAAGGAUGUAAGAAGGUUCUUGGGAAGGUUGAAUUACAUUGCUCGGUUUAUAUCCCAAUUAACCACAACUUGUGACUCAAUCUUCGAUUGUUAAGGAAGAAGAAUCUCGGAAUUUGGAAUAAGAGUGUGAAGAAGCUUUCGAGAAAAUCAAGUAAUACGUAUUGAAUCCACCCCUAUCUAUCAAGCCGAAUUGCAAAAUGGCAAGUUCUACUGGCUGAGUACGACAUAGUAUAUAUGACAUGGAAAGCCAUGAAAGGGAGUGUUAUUGUCGAUCACCUUACCGACCAUGCUAGGGAAGAUAUUGAGUAAUUAAAAUUUGACUUUCCUGAUGAAGAUGUGCUUUCAGUUGAGGAAGGGAAAUUAGAUUGGUGGACUAUGUACUUUGAUGGUGAUGUAAAUGUAUGUGGUAACAGAGCUGAUGCAAUGAUAAUCUCUCCUAAUAAAAAGCAAUAUUCGGUUUUAGUUAAGUUGCAGUUUGGGUGCAAUAACAACAUAAGAGUAUGAAGCUUGCAUUUUCGUUUUAGAGGUGACAUUGGAGCAGAAUAUUAGAAAGAUAGAUAUGUAUGGAGACUCAAUUUUGAUUAUUUUCCAAGAGAAAGGAAAAUGACAAACCAAUGACGAGAAGUUGAGACCUUACCAAGAAUACCUGUCUAAAUUGGCUAGAGAAUUUGAGGAAAUAAAGUUCACCCAUCUAGGAAGGGAAGGAAACCAUUUUGCUGACGCUUUGGUCACAUUAACUUAUAUGGCUAGAAUAGACUUUGGGCAUAAGGUACAGUCGGUACGCAUUAAUAUCAGAAAUAACCCAGCUCAUUGUUGCUUAGUUGAAAGAGAAAAAGCUGGAAACCCUUGGUACUAUGAUAUCAAGAAUCUCAUCCAAAACCAGACAUAUCACAUUGGGGCAUCCAAAAUCAACAAAAGGACUUUGAGGAGGUUGGCAAUGGAUUUCUAUCUUGAUGGGGAAACUUUGAAUAAGAAAUCAUUUGACGGAACUUUGUAGAGAUGUUUGGAUGACAUGGAGGUAAAAAGUGGUGAAGAAAUUUAUGGAAAGAGAUUUGAUCUGUCAAUAUGGUCCACUAGAAAAGAUUAAUAAUGCCCAGAACUUCAAUAACAAGAUGAUAAUAAAACUCUAUGCUAAAUGGAAAAUCAAGCAUUCCAAUUCCUUGCUAUAUAGGCCAAAGAUGAAUGGUGUUGUAGAAGCUGCUAACGAAAAUGUCAAGAAGAUUGUUUAGAAGAUGAUAGUCACCUACAAGGAUUGGCAUGCGAUGUUGCCAUUCGCCCUUCACGCGUACUGCACUGCAAUCCGAACCUCAAUAGGAGCCACCCCGUAUAUAUUGGUGUAUGGAAUGGAGGCAGUGAUGCCUUUAGAAGUUGAAAUCCCCUCAUUAAGAGUAUUGAUAGACUCCGAGCUAGAAGAGGUAGAGUGAGUAAAAGUUAGAGAUGAAUAGUUGAAUCUGAUCAGUGGAAAGAGGAUAGCCGCAAUCUGUCAUCAAAGAAGGAUGGCCAAAUUAUACGACAAGAAGGUUCGACCUCGAGGAUUCCACUAAGGAGAUCUUAAACUGAAGAAAAUAUUGCCUUUUACCAGGAGAAGAUCAGAGUAAAUGGGCGUCAAACAAUGAGGGCCUUUUCGUGGUAAAGAAAGCAUUCUCAGGAGGAGCUUUAUUGUUAUCUAGAAUGGAUAGAGAAGAUCUAGUUAAACCUAUGAAUGCUGACUCUAUAAAGAAAUACUAUGCUUCCCAGUCAAUAAAAGAAAGUCCGGCCAUGCUCUUUGUAAAGAACCCUUUUUUUCAUAAAACGUAUGAUCUCAUAGCAUUUGAAAUCUUUUACUUAAAAGAACUGUUUUUUUUUAACGCAUGACUAAGGAGAUGACUCCAUCAAUUGGAGAGAACCAAAUCAAAUCUAAACUUGACAUAUUUUUGCACACCACACUGGGGGCAAGAAGUGCACGAAGUACACAUAGGGGUCCAUAGUGAACCAAAGCCCAAAGGGGUAUCAUCAUAAAAACUUCUAAAAAACAUCUUUUAUGAGAAUUGCUAAUUGUAUUGAAAGUUUCAGUUUUCAUGAACAAAACCAAAUCUUUUGAGUUUUCCUUUUAAAAUAAUAAUAAAAGACAAUACUCAAUGGAGCAAGAAAGGGCCCCAUAAGGAACCAAAGAUCUCUUCACCAAGAGGAUAGGAAGUAUAGCACGUGGAGUAUAUUCCAUUUCAAGAGGACGAGUCGGACAAACAAAUGAAAACAGGAGCUCAAUAAGUCUACAACAGAAAGAGGGACCUAUGUUUCCAAAAUAGGUAACAAAAAAAAAAGCAUGCAUGCUAUAUUGUCAUAACACUAACCUGGCAGGAGAAGGUGUGACGAAAGCCAAAAUAGUUCCAAGUUUUUGGGAAAACCGUUGAGGUACAAAAUCUCAUGUCAACGGAACUACGGAAAAGGAUAGGAAUUGUGAACCAGCACUACUUCAUUUCCUCGAGGUAAGAUGUUUUCUUUUAAAGUUUGAGAUGGGCAGGUCACCCAAUAUUGAGACCAUUUCUUAGAAAAACGUGGAGUUUUCUAAGAAUUUUAAGAUGGGCCGGUCACCUGAUAUUGAGACUGUUUCUUAGAAAAGCGUGGAGUUUUUUAAGAAUUUUAAGAUGGGCAGGUCGCCCGAUAUUGAGACCAUUUCUUAGAAAAACAUUGAGUUUUCUAAGAAUUUUAAGAGGGGCCGGUUACCUGAUAUUGAAACCGUUUCUUAGAAAAGCGUGGAGUUUUCUAAGAAUUUUAAGAUGGACCGGUCACGUGAUAUUGAGACUGUUUCUUAGAAAAGCGUAGAGUUUUCUAAGAAUUUUAAGAUGGGCAGGUCACCCGAUAUUGAGACCAUUCCUUAGAAAAGCAUGGAGUUUUCUAAGAAUUUUAAGAGGGGCCGGUUACCUAAUAUUGAAACCGUUUCUUAGAAAAGCGUGGAGUUUUCUAAGAAUUUUUAAGAUGGGCCGGUCACCUGAUAUUGAGACCGUUUCUUAGAAAAGCGUGGAGUUUUCUAAGAAUUUUAAGAUGGGCAGGUCACCUGAUAUUGAGACCGUUUCUUAGAAAAACGUGGAGUUUUCUAAGAAUUUUUGGAGGGGCCUGUCACCCGAUAUUAAGACUGUUUCUUAGAAAAGCGUGGAGUUUUCUAAGAAUUUUAAGAGGGGUCGGUCACCUAAUAUUGAAACCGUUUCUUAGAAAAGCAUGGAGUUUUCUAAGAAUUUUAAGAGAGGUCGGUCACCUGAUUUUGAGACUGUUUUUUUAGAAAAGCGUGGAGUUUUCUUAAAAAAAAAGUUUAAGGUGGGCAGGUCACCCGAUAUUGAGACCAUUCCUUAGAAAAGCGUGGAGUUUUCUAAGAAUUUUAGGAGGGGCCUGUCACCCGAUAUUGAGACCAUUUCUUAGAAAAGCGUGGAGUUUUCUAAGAAUUUUAAGAGGGGCCGGUCACCUGAUGUUGAAACCGUUUCUUAGAAAAGCAUGGGGUUUUCUAAGAAUUUUAAGAGGGGCCGGUCACCUGAUUUUGAGACCGUUUUUUUUAAAUAAGCGUGGAGUUUUCUUUAAAAAAAAGUUUAAGGUGGGCAGGUCACCCGAUAUUGAGACCGUUCCUUAGAAAAGCGUGGAGUUUGCUAAGAAUUUUAGGAGGGGCCUGUCACCCGAUAUUGAGACCAUUUCUUAGGAAAACGUGGACUUUUCUAAUAAUUUUAAGAGGAGCCGACCACCUGAUAUUGAAACCAUUUCUUAGAAAAGCGUGGAGUUUUCUAAGAAUUUUAAGAUGGACCGGUCACUUGAUAUUGAGACCAUUCCUUAGAAAAGCAUGGAGUUUUCUAAGAAUUUUAAGAUGGGCAGGUCACCCGAUAUUGAGACCAUUCCUUAGAAAAGCAUGGAGUUUUCUAAGAAUUUUAAGAGGGGUCGGUUACCUAAUAUUGAAACCGUUUCUUAGAAAAGCGUGGAGUUUUUUAAGAAUUUUUAAGAUGGGCCGGUCACCCGAUAUUGAGACAAUUUUUUAGAAAAGCAUGGAGUUUUCUAAAAAAAUAUUUUGAGGUGGGCAGGUCACCCGAUAUUGAAACCAUCCCUUAGAAAAGCGUUGAGUUUUCUAAGAAUUUUAAGACGGGCCUGUCACGCGAUAUUGAGACCAUUUCUUAGGAAAGCGUGGAGUUUUCUAAGAAUUUUAAUUUGGGUAGGUCACCCGUCAUAAUGUGACCAUCUUUCAUUUUGGGUAGGUCACCCGUCAUAAUGAGACCACACACACAUUUUUGUAUUGGUUGUGGUUAAAGGAGAUCACCAGAUGGGAUCUCAGGUUAACCCAACCACACACAGAGUUUACCUUUGGUUAAAGGGAAUCGCCAGAUGGGAUUUCAGGUUGACCGAGCUACACACCGACUUUGCUUCGGAUUAAAGGAGAUCGCCAGAUGGGAUCUCAGGUUAACCCAACCACACAGAGUUUAGUUUUGGUUAAAGGGAAUCGCCAGAUGGGAUUUCAGGUUAACCGAGCUACACACCGACAUUGCUUCGGAUUAAAGGAGAUCGCCAGAUGGGAUCUCAUAUUAACCCAACCACACACAUAGUUUAGCUUUGGUUAAAGGGAAUCGCCAGAUGGAUUUCAGGUUAACCGAGCUACACACCGACUUUACUUCAGAUUAAAGGAGAUUGCCAGAUGGGAUCUCAGGUUAACCCAAUCAAAAGGGUAGGUCGACCGUGAAAAUAGACCAGCAUGAGUAUGUGGGUAGGUCGCCCCUGAAAAUAGACCAGGUUUGAGUGUGUGUGAGCAGGUCGCUCGUGAAAAUAGACCAAUUUUCUUUUUUUAAAAAAGACAGGUCACCCAUGAUAACUAGACCAUUUUCUUUUAAAAAGUGAAGUCCUUGGAUGAGUAGAUCAUUCAAAAAGCAAGGAAGACUUUUUUUUUCUUUACAAGCUUACUAUGCAAAACAUUAAGGAGUUUUGCUUCGUAAGCAUUGUAAAGAGGGGGUAUCUGUUGCUACCUAAUUUUUGACUCAUGUUUUGAUAAAAAAAUUUUAAUAAAUAAAAAAUAAGAAUUUACAUGUGGCGAUAACAUAGAGCAUCAGGGUUAAGGAAGCAAUAUGUCAAGGAAAUAAUUAGUGAAUAAUAUAUAAUUACUGCAAUAUAAAAUACCAUAGAUAUAUGAUUUGAUUCGUGCUGUUUAGAGAAAAUAAUCACUGCAAUAGAAAAAUACAAUAUAUAUAGGAUUUGUUGGUGCUGGUUAUAGAAGACAAUCUUUGUAAUAAUUAUUAUAAUAUUUCUUUAAAUAGCACGUAUAGAGAUUUUCUAUAUAAAUGAACAUCCAGCCAUAUACAGAGGAGGGGAAAAAAUUUACAGAGGACAAAUUUUUUUUAAAGAGAGAAAUUUAGGGCAACCAUAAAAAAACCUAAACCUAAUUUUUUUCUCCUGGCCGAAACCAAGCCAUCGCCCCCUCUCCCCUGUUGUUUUUUUGGUUUGCAGUCUCCCCCCCCCCAGCUAUCUUCUUCUCCUCCCUCAGCUCCCACAUGCACGACCUUCCCUUUUCAGCUAAAGACAAACUCACGGUCUUCUCUCCCAACCAAGAGGCAGCCGGCGCCGCUCUCCCUCUCCACAACAGCCGUCACUGCUCCUCCCCCUUUCUCAAUCAAGACUUUCCCUCUGCACACAAGCUUCUCUUCUCCCUUCGCCAGACCUCACUUCCCUAGCUUGCAACAACUAUGAACACCACUUACAGGCCUUCACUCUCUGUCAACACAACCCCAGGAAAAGACUCUCCAUUCAUCCCAUCUCUCCCUCAGCUCAGCCCCGCCUGAUAAACAUUCAAAACCAGAAGCCACAGCCAGCCCUUCCCCCGACAGUAACAGAGAAGCAACACCAGAACCUCAGACUGGCCUCCCUUGAAAAAUCCCAGCAGCUAGCAGCACCACCUCUGCUGAACCAUGGCCAGCACCAACAGCAACCAGGAACGAGUUGAGCCACUCGCCCAGUUGUAGCCUCCUCCACAGCCAUAUCCUUCCUCAGCCGCAGUGAUGGAACCAGCAGAAGCCACACCUUUCCUCGACCGCAGUAGCAGAAUCAGCAGAAGUCAUCCUUCCCUUCCAGCAACACGAGAACAGAGGGAGUUUCUUUCCUUCAUCCUUUCGUUACUGUGAGAAAGGAAAACAGAACAGAGGAGAGGGAGAGAAGAGAAACGAAAGCAAAACAAACCGGAAAGAACAGAGACGCAAGAGAAAAGCAAGCGAGCGCAGACAGUGAGGACUGGAGAAACCGGGUUCGCCAGCAGACCAGGUAAGCUGUCUCUCUUUUCUUACCAGCUUUGCAUGCAUUCUUGGUUGCAUUGUUACUGUUCAAGUGAAAUUUAAUACACUUGAACAGUAACCAGCCAAGGCAUGCGUGAGGAAACUCACGCAUGCCUUUGUGCCCAGUCGGGUCACUGGUUUGGGUCAGUGACCCGGCUAUGCCUGCUGGGUUCAGCCCAGCCACAUGGGCCGAGCUGGACCCAGCCCCUAAAAAAACGAGUAAUAUCAUUUUUUUAUUUAAUUUGUGGUUUUUUUAUAUUUUUAUAUUGUAAAAACAUAAAUCUUGUAUUUAAAAUACCUGGUUUUCAACGCAAUGUGACAAAUAUAUAUAUAUAUAUAUAAAAUGUUUUCAUGCAUACGACCAAUACUCUAAAUGUUUUGAAUGUUUUUUUUAUAUAAAAAAAAAAUAUUGGAAGUUUCAAAAAUGUGUUUUCGCAUGGAUUUCUUAAACACAACAAAAAUUAUUUUCUUGCAUUUCUAGAACACAACAAAAAUUAUUUUCUUGCAUUUCUAGAUUUUACAACAUGUUUGUAAAACUCCAAAGGGUAUUGGUCAAUAUUCCAAAAAAUAUAAAAAUCUUAUUUUGGAGGAAAUUCAUCUAUUAUUCACCGCUAAUGUUUGGAUAAAAAAAUCCUUAAAGGACGAAUAUCCAAAAUAUUAUUGGGAAUAACUUGUUAUUAUUCGCUGUUAAUGUUUGGAUAAAAAAACCCCAAGUGGUUAAUAUCCAAAAUAUUUUUCUAGGAAUAAUAAGUCAUCGCACAUCGUUGAAAGAAGCCUCGAUUAUAAUUUAGGACAUUUUAAUUUUUGACUCCAUGGUUUACAAGCCAUAAAAAUAUGAAACAAGGCAAAAAGAGGCUUUUAAAGCGCUCUGAAUUUCCUUAAAUUUCUAAAUUUUUGUCUCUCCUCAUUGCGAUUUACGAGUCGCAAAACUCUUGAAAUACUAAGGGAAAAAUAAGCUUUUAAAACACAUGGAAUCUCCUUGGAUUUCUAUCUUAAUAAAUUUAGUCUGAAUCAAACAUAGAUUUCAAGAGAUCUGCAUCGGUUCUCCUUGGUACUUUGUAGACAUAUCUAAGGGUGUGAUCCAGAUUGACCAAGGGUUAUUUCUUUUUUAAAACUUUCAAUCCAAGUUUGUUCGUCAUAGCAAAAUGUAUCCUAGGAAACACCAACACCAUAGCAAUUAUAAAGCAAACCAAACACCAAGCAGCUUACCUUAAAUAGGGCGUACUAGGGGUGCUAAUACCUUCCCUCUAUGCAACUAGUCCCUUGCCUUAGAAUCUCUAAAAGACUAGUUAGGUUUCCUAGUGACCAUAAUACUAGGUGGCGACUCCAUUAUUCACAAAACAUAACACCCCGAAAUCAAUUGAGGAUCGCCGCACUCUGCUCGUGAGGGUGCGACAAAACUUAAAAACUUACGUACUUCUGCUCUUGUCAUUCAACCUCUUUAUUGGUCACUACCUUUUGAAAUAACGUGUGAUGCUUGUGAUUAUGUCGUGGGUGCUGUCUUGGGACAAAGAAAAGAUAAGAAACCUUAUAUGAUUUACUAUGCAAGUAAAACUUUAAAUAGUGCUUAAAUGAAUUACACCACCAUUGAAAAAGAAUUACUUGCAAUAGUAUUUGUUUGUGAAAAAUUCAGGUCUUAUCUUGUUGGCUUACCUGUUGUUGUUUUUAGUGAUCAUGUUGCACUGAAAUAUCUUUUUUCUAAGAAAGAUUCUAAGGCUAGAUUGGUGCGGUGAAUUUUGUUACUUCAAGAAUUUGAUAUCACAAUUAAAGACAAGAAAGACACCAAAAAUGUUGUCGCAGAUCAUUUGUCAAGAUUGACAACAGAUUUGAAAUUUGACAUCACACCAAUCAAUGACUACUUUCCUGAUGAAUCUUUACUAUCUGUCUCUACAAUGCCUUGGUUUUCUAAUAUUGUCAAUUUUCUUGUUUCAGGACAAUUGCCAGCUCAUUGGAGAACCCAAGAUAAAAGAAAGUUCUUGAACGAAGUGAAUAACUUUUAUUGGGAUGACCUUUAUUUAUUCAAAUAUUGUCCUGAUCAAAUAUUUCAAAGAUCCAUUCCUGACAAUGAGGUAAGUAGUGUCAUUAAAUUUUGUCAUUCUGAGGCAUAUGGGGGCCAUUUCUCAUCAAGAAAGACAACUCCAAAAAUCUUACAAAGUGAAUUUUACAGGCCCACCAUGUUCAAGGACUCACAUGCAUUCUGCAAGACUUGUGAAAAUUGUCAAAAGUUGGGAUCUAUUUCAAAACGUCACAUGAUGCCUUUAAAUCCAAUUCUUGUCAUUGAGAUCUUUGACUGUUGGGGUAUAGAUUUCAUGGGUCCAUUUCCUCCAUCAUUUGGUUUCUUGUACAUAUUAGUCGCAGUAGAUUAUGUUUCAAAAUGGAUACAGGCAAUUCCAAGUCGAAACAAUAACCACAAAACAGUGAUAAAGUUUUUGAAAAAAAAUAUUUUGAGUCCAUUUGGAAUCUCUCGAGCCAUGAUAAGUGAUGGUGGAACACAUUUCUGCAACAAGUCAUUUGAGUCUUUAAUGAAGAAAUAUGGAAUCACACACAAAGUUGUCACCCCUUAUCACCCUCAGACAAGUGGACAAGUAGAGCUUGCUAAAAGGGAGAUCAAACAAAUCUUGGAGAAAACAGUAAACCCUAAUAGGAAAGACUAGUCUUUAAGACUUAAUGAUGCACUUUGGACUUAUUGAACUGCUUAUAAAACAUCAUUAGGUAUGUCACCUUAUAGAUUAGUCUAUGGAAAACCUUGUCACUUGCCUGUGGAACUUCAACACAAAGCUUAUGCUGAUGCCUUCAUUGCUUUACCAGGUGGGCUGGGCAUAUUGGAAGAGAUCUUUCAUAUUUCCUUUUGGGCCCAACUACACAUUCACCAUAAACCCAUAGAUCUGUUAAAUGUUAAUGGUUUUUAUGAUAAUUUGUUGUCUUUUCUUUAUCAAGCUGUGGAAUAACAAUUUCUAACAUCUUCAGCACGACAAAUCAUAAUCUCUGCUGUUACUACUAAACAAUUGAUUGACUAACUACAAUCUUUCAUCCUUGUAAUUGAUCUCUCCAUGAGUCGUAUAAAUUGGUCAACUAAGGAAAGCCGUAAAAAGCUUAGAUUGGAUUUGAGCCUUCGUUUGUGAAACCUUGUGUCCUUUGGUUUUAUUAAUAGCAUUUUAUUUUGUUUUGUUAUUUCUUAUAUUUGUUUAAGUGUGUUUCAGGUUUGCUAGUGUUCGUUGUUUCAGGUGAUGUCUUCUAUACUCUAUCUUUCUACCUUAGGACAUUGAGGACAAUGUCUCGUUCUAGUUGGGGGGAGAGGGUAGUAGUUGACAUAAAAAAAACUAACUUCUAACAGUUUUUGCUAUUAUUAAAACCAUUUGACAAAACUGUUAUUAGGAUGGCAGACUUUAAUGUUUGAUACUAACAUGUUUUGUAUUUGUUAUCUUGUUCACUUUUAAUAUUUUGCUUGUUAAAUGAUUAAUCUACAUUUAUGUUGUAUAAUCCUUGGUACAACAAAUACUUGGCACUUUCAUAGCCCAAACCGUAUGGUAUAACCGACACCUGUGCUAUGAAAGGAACUUGAUGUGUUGUUAACAUAAGUUAUAAUCAUGAAUGCCUGAUAACAUUUACAAGUAUUAGCAUUAUUCGAAUGAGAUAACUAAUGUAAUCAUGUUAACAAUUUAUAAUCUGAUUGGAACCUUCUUUGUGUGUGGUUUCCAGUUGAAUAAUAACAGUUUAUACUAUACUUGUUUGAAAUACCAUUAGUGGAUCCUCUAACCUUAACAAUUGUUUUUAUCAUUGUUUAAUACUUAUAACAAUAUCACAUCUCAAAGCUCUCUUCUUCUUCUUGUUAUUAUUAUUGUUGUUGUUGUUGUUGUCGUUGUUGUUGUCGUUGUUGUUGUUGUUGUUGUUGUAUUGUUGUUAUUUAUAAUUUUUAUAGUUAACCUUCUUGUGGUUCAACCCCUGUCUUGCCGGGUUAUUUAUUACUUUGACGCUCCUACACUUGGGAGAAGACAUCAAGCUUUUGGUCGUGUCAGCCCUAAUCAUGGUUUUGAAACAUGGAGAUUAGUUUCAUAUUUUUAUGAAGGGUUAACACCUAAAGAUAGACAAAUGGUGGAAUUAAUGUGCAAUGGAACUUUUGAAGAUUAAGACCCUAAUGAAGCAAUGGAGUACCUAGACUUGCUAGCUAAAAAUGCUCAAAAUUAAGACACUACAGGCACUUAUGAGGCACCAAAUAAAACUCAACCUCAUACAUCUAGUGGAGGAAUGUACAACCUUAGGGAAGAUCAUGACCUCCAAGCCAUGUUUGCAUCUUUAGCUAGAAAAGUCGAGGCACUAGAAUUGAAAAAGAGUGGUCAAUGUUGCGAUGUCGCAGUCGCACAAAUUCCUUACCCUAGCUUCAAACACAACACACAAGAUAAUAUAGAGCAAGCAAGGGGUCGAUCCCACGAGGAAGGUUCAAGUCAGAUUUUUAUGCUAGAUGAUAUGCAAUUUAGGGGGGGUUGGACGUUAUCUAGGCUAAAGCAAAAAAAAAUAGAAAACUAUCAAGUGAAAUUAAAUAAAAUGAGAAAAUUAUCAAGAGAACAAACCUUGGUCGCAAGCACACAUCCACUUAUAGAAAUCAGAACUGAUCAUGGAAACGAAACUUCAAUUUAUAUUCUGAAUAUUUAUCUCUUUUUAACAUUGGUUAGUUAACGGAUCCACCGUAUAACUAACCCUAACCAUCAAACAACCACAGUGUGCGCACUAGUAAUUUAAUUCAAUGACAGCCUUAAGAACUAGAUAAGUUGAUUAAUCAAGAAAAGUCUAUAGUUUAAGUUUGAUUUGAUUGAAUGUUCUCCCUAAGAUUAAUAACGUAGAUCCGCCACAAUUAUUAAACUCAAUUGCUUCACAAGUUCAUAUACCACAACUCUGGUUUUGAUAUCAAACUUAGCAAUAGAUUGUCUACAAUAAUAACUUAGAGUCCGCUCUAGCAAUUAAAAUAAACAAUCAUAGGAAAAAUAAGCAUAGAAGAACAAACAUAUUCAUCAUAUAAACUGAAAAGAAAAGGUAAAAUAAAUCUCAUAGUUCUUGAAAUCCAAAGUUUUCUGUGUCCUUGCAACCAAGAAAAAAGAGUUUAGCCUUGCAUGUUUGUUGAACAGCUAAUAAAAAAGGAGGAAUGCAUGAUUUUGGGUUUCUUAGAGGAAGGGGGCGUUUUUCUCUUCUGUGCUGGCUGCCCCCCCUUCGUUUCUCUCAUUGUUUUUAUAUCCUAGGAAACCCUAGUCUCUAUUUUACAAAAUAGUCCUCCCUUAAGUAGACAGUUUACAUUUAAGUACUUCAAUAACUAUUUUCCUAAAAAAGGAGGAAUAACCUUGCAUGAAAUCUUCAAGCUUUGACUUAGAGGAGCUAAAUUGCUGAAAUAAAAACUUGGAUAUUGGUUUAGAUGCUUCAGAACGCAAUUUGGACUCGUUUCUUCACGAAACCUGUUUGCUGGCAGAAUUCAGAUGUCAUCUUUGAAAAAUCAUAUCUCCCUCAUAUGACAUCUUUUUUUGCUGAACUUUGGAGCAUUGAUAGGCAUUUGAGUCAAGAAUCCAAUAUAAUUGAGUUUGAAUCAAUUGGACUUCUUUAACUUUAGAUAUUCAACUCGGAAUGGCCAAAGGUCAACACUGGCAGAUUGCGAGAUUUGACUUUGAAGGCUAUGAUUUCCAUGCUCUUCCUUAUUUUAUUUUCUUGCCUUAGAUGUCCAGAAAGUUAUGGAUGUUAGUCUUUUAAUCCCACUAGAAUCAUUUCAUUUCGACCUCUAGAGCUCAUGCUCUGCACAAAAGAUCGACUGAAGGUCAAAUUUGUCAAUUACCUCUAAUUUACUCAUUUUUGCAUCUUUCAUCCAAAAGUGCCUUCAAAACAUAAAAUAAAGAAUAUGAAGGCAUUUUAUAUAUAAAACAUAGGCAAAACACUAGUUAAAUGUGGGUGAAACUAUCGAAUAAUUGCAUCACUUUACCACAAUCAAUUUUUAUAUUUGCAGUUUUCAAGAAUGGUCUCCCAAACAAUAUAGGAGUGUUGUUUGAUGAAUCACAAGAAUCAUGUUUCAUAUCAAGAAUAUAAAAGUCACAUGGAAUGACCAAACUAUCAAUCUUGACUAGGACAUCUUCUAUCACACCAAGUGGGUAAACAAAACUACAAUCCGCAAGUUGUAUUACAAUGCUAGUUUUAUUCAAAGGCUCUAGACUAAGAGAAUCAUAAACAUGUUUAGGCAUAACACUAAUGGAUGCACCUAAAUCGCACAAGGCCCUUUUGAAACUAGUAUUACCAAUAACACAUGGGAUAGUAAACACACCUGGGUCUUUUUGCUUCAAAGACAUAUUCUUUUGAACAACAGCAGAUACAACUUCACCCAUACUUACCAUUUCAUGACCUUUUAGUUUGAAAGCUCUCUUGGUAGUACACAACUCCUUCAAGAAUUUGGCAUACUUAGGAAUUUGCUUGAUAGCAUCAAGCAAAGGAAUGUUGAGUUCUACUUUCUUGAAAACCUCUAAAAUCUCUUUUUCUUUGUCCUCUUUCUUUGACCUAGAAGAACUCACAGGAAAGGGUGGAAUUGUUUUAAAACUGGAAUUCAUUGAGUGAGGAGUUACCUUUGGAGUGUUGGUCGAUGUUUCAGUUUGUGGAGGGGGAGGAUGUUCUUUCUUUGUACUCAAUUCAGUUUCUAUCUCUUCUUCUUUCUCCAUCUUAAUUUGUUUCGACGUUUUUGCUUCAAGUUCAUUCUCACUUCGCAGCAUGAUCGCACUAACAUUCUCUUUUGGAUUCAAUGCUUGGAAGGACAAUUUUCCAUUCAUUUGUGCUUCCAAUUUCCCCACACUUGAAGCUACUUGCCCCAUUUGCUUCUCCAAGUUGUGAAUACUUGACCUUGUUUCCUGUUGAAAAGACAUGACAUUUUGUUGCAAGGUCACAGUGUUAGAAGCCAAAGUUUUUAUCAUCUCAUGAAGAUCAUCACUGGAUGACGACCCCAUAACAUUGGAGUUUGUGAAUGGAAGGGGCUGUCUCGCUUGAUAAUUCUGUGGGGAUUGAAAUCCAUGGGGAUGGAAUUAUCGGCCUUGAUUGCCUUGUUGAGGUGGGUUCCCAUAGCAUAAGUUUGGAUGAUCUCUCCAUCCGGGAUUGUACGUGUUGGAAAAGGGAUCAUGUUUACGUUGGGGCUGUCCGUUAAAUCCUCUAUCAACUACAUGAACCUGUUCAAUGUAAUCUUCUUGCAUUGUUGGGCACAUAUCUGAGGUAUAUCCUUAUAAGGAACAUAUGCUACAAACUUUCACCUGCUGUACAUUUCCACAAGCCAAAGAACGCACAAGAGAAGUAAGAUCAUUAACUUUAUUUUCAAGGUUAGAAAUACUUACCUCAUUUACUCGUUUGUUUGCGAAGUCUCCACGCGUGCCAAAUUGUUUCGAGUUGGCUAGCUGCCAUGUUUGAGAUCAAUUGGCGUGCAGCCUCGGGUGUCUUAUCUAUCAAUGCCCCUCCACUUGCAGCAUCAAUGAUAGUAUGGUCAGAGGCAUGAAUCCUUCAUAGAAAUAUUGAAUGAGCAGCUGAUCGGGUAUUUGAUGAUGAGGGCAUUGAAUGCACAGUUGCUCAAAUCUUUCCCAAUACUCGGAAAAUGUCUCUCCAUGAGAUUUUCGAAUCCCACAUAUUUCUUUCCUUAUGUUGGCAACUCGAGAUGCUAGGAAAUACUUUUCAAGGAAAAUCUUCUUCAUGGCAUGCCAAGUUCCAAUGGAACCCGGGAGAAUAGAGAAAAACCAUGCAUUUGCUGCCCCUUUUAAAGAGAAAGGGAAAGCUUUCAACUUAACCUGUUCUUCAUCAACUCCAUUUGGUUUCAUGCCAACGCAAACCAUAUGGAACUCCUUGAGAUGAGUAUGAGGAUCGUCACCUGCAAGACCAUUGAAUGUUGGUAGCAAAUGUAUAAAACCAAAUUUGAGCUCAAAGUUUACAUUAUUGUCGAUGUUGAUGCACAAUGGUUGAUUUUCCACGUUAGGAGUAGCAAGCUCCUUGAGUGUUUGUUGUCGUUCAACAGCCAUGGUGCCAUGGUGUUGACGCGAGGUUCCUUUCGUAACCUGCGUAAAGUGUUUUCUAUUUCGAGAUCCACCUGCACUUGAAUCUGGUUAGUAGAACGGGUUACAAUCAUAAAUCGUCAAGAAAACUCAAAAGAAACCAACCACGCAAGAAAUCGAAAACAAUGCAAAUUGUACGAAAAUCCUAUGCUAGAAAACUAAAACUGCCUAAAAACCCUAGAAAACAAAGGAAUUUGACCUCGAUAGGGUGGGGCUAGUGGUGUACCACAAAUCCUUCUAAAUAUUUAUCUCUUCUUAACAUUGGUUAGUUAACGGAUCCGCCGUAUAACUAACCAUAACCAUCAAACAACCACAGUGUCCACACUAGUAAUUUAAUUCAAUGGCAGCCUUAAAAACUAGAUAAGUUGAUUAAUCAAGAAAAGUCCACAGUUUAUGUUUGAUUUGAUUGAAUGUUCUCCCUAAGAUUAAUAACGUAGAUCCGCCACAAUUAUUAAACUUAGUUGCUUCACAAGUUCAUAUACCACAACUCCGGUUUUGAUAUCAAACUUAGCAAUAGAUUGUCUACAAUAAUAACUUAGAGCCCGCUCUAACAAUUAAAAUAAACAAUCAUAGGAAAAAUAAGCAUAGGAGAACAAACAUAUUCAUCAUAUAAACUGAAAAGAAAAGGUAAAAUAAAUCUCACAGUUCUUGAAAUCCGAAGGUUUAUAUGUCCUUGCAACCAAGAAAAAGAGUUUAGCCUUGCAUGUUUGUUGAACACCUAUCAAAAAGAAGGAAUGCAUGAUUUUGGGUUUCUUAGAGGAAGGGGCGUUUUUAUCUUCUUUGCUGGCUGCCCCCUUGAUGCGAUCCAACCAUCAAAGGAUCUAUUGGAGGUUCCAAUUGGUCUAGUUACUAGGCUUAGGGCUAAGAAGUUCAAAUAAGCUUUCAAUGGACUUUUUCAAGAUACAUGGGCUAAGGUGGACUUCAAGAGGAUUUGUAAUAAUAAAGAGCAAGCCUUGAUUAAUCCGAUUCAUGUUCAAGAGGGGCUUGUUGGUGGAACCAAGACCAUUACACAAGGAUUGGGAGAAGAAGACUAGAUUUAGACAGUUUGACCUUUCGUUACUCUUUUAUCCACAGUUAGACUUCCAUACCUUUCCAACGAUAUAUGGCAUGCUUUCUAAUUCAUUAAGACGAGAGAGAACCAUCCAUUUUAAGUUGGGUUUUGCUGCUGCCAGACAGAAUGCGGAAACAACGAACUUGUCUUAUUUAAUUAGUUGGGCUAUCAAACUUUAAUUAUUUUGAGAGGAGACAAUUUGUUUGGGUUUUAGACUUUUUUAUUUUAAUUAUUUUGGGUUAGUUUUAGCUUGGGUUGAUUAUUAUUUAAAUUGGGUUUAUGUGAGACCCAUUAGGGAAACUAGGGUUUUGGCUUGGAGUUUAAAUACUCUUUAGGAAUAAUUUUAGGUUAGACUUUUGAUGAUAUUUUCAGCCUUGUAGCCGACUUUUGGUUGCUCAAUCUUGGUUCUUGAUUGAACUUUCAACUCUUCAAAGAAUUGACAAUUCUUUGUUGUGAAUUUAUACUUCCUUUACUCGUCUUCAAGUGUAGGCGUUGUGAUCGAGUUGGUUUAUAGUCUUGUUGCCUUGGAGUAAGUCUUCCAUUAUGAUAAGCUCAUUCAAAUCUCAACAAACUUGGGUUAGAUUGAUCUUGGGGUCGCGAAUACCAUUAAAUUUCGCUUGUGUGAAUUUACUUCCAUAUUCAGUUUUUCAAAGUCUCAAUCUAGGUGAAUUAAAACCAACUUAUGUAACUCUCUUACUUGCUGAUAGAUCUGUAAAAGUGCCUAGAGGAAUAGUUGAAGAUGUGUUAGUACAAGUUGAUAAAUUCAUUUAUCCUGUGGAUUUCAUUGUCUUCGAUACACAACUUGUUGAAGCAUGUAAUUCAUUUCCUAUUAUUUUAGGACGUCCAUUUCUUGCAACUUCUAAUGCAUUGAUUAAUUAUAGGAAUGGACUGAUGAAACUAUCAUUUGGAAAAUUGACAUUGGAGAUGAAUAUUUUCAACAUUUGCAAGCAACCUGGAGAUGAUAAUGAUUUACAGGAAGUGGACUUUAUUGAAAAAUUAGUUUAUGAUCAAUUUCAAACCACUUCCAGUGAAACUGAGAUUGAUGAAUCUGACGAUUUGCAAAUGGUUUAUUUUUAGGAAGAAUUAAAGGCAAAUAGUUGGAGACCAAAAAUUAAGGAAUUGCCACCACGAUCAAUUGAGUCCAUACCUUCAAGUGUUCAACCACCAAAACCUGAUUUGAAGUCGUUACCAUUCAAUCUCAAAUACUCAUUUUUGGGAGAAAAUGAAACUUUUCCGGUAAUAAUCUCUUCCAAACUUAAUGCACAUCACGAAGGUAAGUUAUUACAAACUCUGAAAAUGCACAAAAAUGCAUUAGGAUGCACCAUAACUAACAUAAAAGGAAUUAGUCCUUUGAUUUGCACACACAGGAUUUAUUUGGAGGAAAAUGCUAAAUCCUCUAGAGAAAUGCAACGAAGGCUUAAUUCUAAUAUGAAAGAAGUAGUGAAAAAUGAAGUCAUUAAGCUUCUAGAUAAUGGAAUCAUUUAUCCUAUUUCUGACAGCAAAUGGGUAAGUCUUACCCAAGUUGUACCCAAGAAGUCUGGAGUCAUUGUGAUAACAAAUGAGAAAAAUGAGUUAAUUCCAACUAGGACUAUUACUAGUUGGCGCAUGCGCAUUGACUAUAGGAAACUUAAUUCAAUGACUAGAAAAGUUCAUUUUCCUUUACCUUUCAUGGAUCAAAUCCCAGGAAGAGUUGCAGGUCAUGAAUUUUAUUGUUUCCUAGAUGGUUAUUCAGGCUACAACCAAAUUGAAAUUGCAUUGAAAGAUCAAGAGAAGACUACUUUCACAUGUCCAUUUGGUACUUUUGCAUAUCGAAGAAUGCCUUUUGGAUUAUGUAAUACACCAGCCACAUUUCAAAGAUGCAUGCUCAGUAUAUUUAGUGAUAUGGUUGAACGUUUUCUUGAAAUUUUUAUGGAUGAUUUUUCUGUUUUUGGCGAUUCAUUUGAUGAUUGUUUGACUAACUUAGAAAAGGUUUUGAGCAGGUGUGAAGAGAAGAAUCUUGUACUGAAUGGGAAAAAAUAUCACUUUAUGGUAACAAACGGCAUUGUACUUGUUCACAUUGUUUCAUCGAAAGGAAUUGAGGUUGACAAAUCUAAAAUCGAGUUAAUUGCUAACUUGCUAACACCAAAAUAUAUUAAAGAUGUUAGAUCGUUCUUAGGACAUGCUGGUUUUUAUAGAAGGUUCAUCAAAGAUUUUAGUGUAAUAUCUAAGCCCUUGAGUAACCUUCCUAACAAAGGAUAAUAUUUUUGAAUGGACUAAACAUUGUGAAGAAGCAUUUGUUAAACUUAAAAACUUGCUUACUCAUGCUCAUGUCAUUCAACCUCCUUAUUGGCCAUUACCUUUUGAAAUAAUGUGUGACGCUAGUGAUUAUGUCGUGGGUGCUGUCUUGGGACAUAGAAAAGAUAAGAAAUCUUAUGUGAUUUACUAUGCAAGUAAAAACUUUAAAUAGUGCUCAAAUGAAUUACACCACCACUGAAAAAGAAUUACUUGUAGUAGUAUUUGCAUGUGAAAAAUUCAGGUCUUAUCUUGUCGACUCACCUGUUGUUGUUUUUAGUGAUCAUGCAGCAUUGAAAUAUCUUCUUUCUAAGAAAGAUUCUAAGACUAGAUUGGUGCGGUGGAUUUUGUUACUUCAAGAAUUUGAUAUCACAAUCAAAGACAAGAAAGGCACCGAAAAUAUUGUCGCAGGUCAUUUGUCAAGAUUGAUAACAGAUUCGAGAUCUGACAUCACACCAAUCGAUGACUACUUUCCUGAUGAAUCUUUACUUUCCGUCUCUACAAUGCCUUGUUUGCUAAUAUUGUUAAUUUUCUUGUUUCAAGACAUUUGCCAGCUCAUUGGAGUACCCAAGACAAAAGAAAGUUCUUGAACAAAGUGAAGAACUUUUAUUGGGAUGACCUUUAUUUAUUCAAAUAUUGUCCUGAUCAAAUAUUUCGAAGAUGCAUUCCUGACAAUGAGGUAAGUAGUGUCAUUAAAUUUUAUCAUUCUGAGCAUGUGAGGGUCAUUUCUCAUCAAGAAAGACAACUCCAAAAAUCUUACAAAGUGGAUUUUACGGGCCCACCAUGUUCAAGGACUCACAUGCAUUAUGCAAGACUUGUGAAAAUUGUCAAAAGCUGAGAUCUAUUUCAAAAGGUCACAUAAUGCCUUUAAAUCCUAUUCUUGUCAUUGAGAUCUUUGAUUGUUGGGGUAUAGAUUUCAUGGGUCCAUUUCCUCCAUCAUUUGGUUUCUUGUACAUAUUAGUCGUAGUAGAUUAUGUUUCAAAAUGGAUAGAGGCAAUUCCAAGUCGAAACAAUGAUCACAAAACAGUGAUAAAGUUUUUGAAAGAAAAUAUUUUGAGUCGAUUUGGAAUCCCUCGAGCCAUGAUAAGUGAUGGUGGAACACAUUUCUGCAACAAGUCAUUUGAGUCUUUAAUGAAGAAAUAUGGAAUCACACACAAAGUUGCCACCCCUUAUCAUCCUCAGACAAGUGGACAAGUAGAACUUGCUAAUAAGGAGAUCAAACAGAUCUUGGAGAAAACAGUGAACCCUAAUAGGAAAGACUGGUCUUUUUAAUUAUACACUUUGGGUUUAUCGAACUGCUUAUAAAACAUCAUUAGAUAUGUCACCUUAUAGAUUAGUCUAUGGAAAACCUUGUCACUUGCCUGUGGAACUUCAAUAUAAAGCUUAUUGGGCUAUUAAAGCUUUUAAUUCAAACCUUGAUGAUGCUAGUCAGCUGUGAAAAUUACAAAUAAAUGAGCUUGAGGAAAUAAGAAAUGAUGCAUAUGAAAAUUCAAGAAUUCAUAAAGCAAGAAUCAAAGAGUUUCGUGACAAGAAAUUACUGAGAAAAACAUUCAAUAUUGGUCAAAAAGUCUUGCUUUAUAAUUCUCGACUCCAUUUAUUUCUUGGAAAACUAAGGUCAAGAUGGAGCGGUCCUUUUAUUGUGAAACAUGUGUAUCCAUAUGGGGCCUGUAAUAUCGAGAAUCCAAAGAAUGACAAUGUUUUCAAGGUAAAUGGGCAUUGUUUGAAAGUUUACUUUGACAAUUUUUCAGUUGAAAAUGACUCUAUUCAAUUGAGUGAUCCUGUAUAUAAAGAUUGAUUCUUUUUCUCACAUUGUUUUUAUGUUUCUUUUUGGUGUGAAUUUUGUUUUGCUAGUCUCUCUCACCCUGGUCAAAUGGCGGAUAACGGCACUCCGUGACUCUUAAGUCGGUUCUUUCAGUUUCCCAUAAUAACUUAUAUUUGUGUAUAUAUUUGUGCAAUUCUUUGCUCUUUCUCCUUUAUUUGCAUCUCUUCUCCAAUUCUCAUUUGAAAAUGGACACCACUCUUGAAAAUUGAAAAAGUAUUUUCUCGUUUUGCCUCCAAAUGCGAUUGCAAAAAUUUACCGUGCUAGGUGUGCAAGAUUAAGGUUGUUAAUGAAUCAUGGAAUUCUUGAAGAUAUUCACUGGCUAAUUGAAGCAAAGGUCUGAUUAUCAGGUGAGUCCUCCAAUUCUUUCAUUUCAUACAUACCUGGAACAGGUAAAAGUGCUUUUGCAAAGAAACGUUAUGCAAAACGACUGAAAGUCUGUCACAAAUGUGUCAGAUGGACUUGUAAUGCAACAUGUCGUUCUUUAGAAAUGGUAUUUGUAAACCGUUAAGAUAAAAUACAAUUCAUUAAGGAUGACCUAAGUAAGGGGUCUUUAGAUAAUCUUCUAUUGACUCUUGAGACGCAUCCUAGUGGAGAUGUGCAUCGUGCAAUUCAUGAUUUAUGGCCACAAUUCCAUAAAGAACAUGCUCGACAUAGUCUUGGGAAUCUGACUAAAAAAGACCAUGUUUGCCAGUUUUUAAGAAAACUGGAUGGGAAGCCUAUCCCUAACCCAUAGAGGGCAUUUAAGUCGUUCUUGGACGUAAAACCAAAGGAAGAUGUGAGCCACAAUCACAACUACCUGUACAUACACAUGCUUUUUUUUCAAAUAAUAAUAAUAAUAAUAAGAGAGAGAGAGAGAGAGUGAGACUCCAGCUAGCCUACAUAUAGGUGGUAUGAUUGCAUUUUCAAUUUCUCAUCUAUAAAAUCUUCUCUUCCUUCCCUUCAUUUCUACUCAACCAAUACAUCAAUAGAUAUAGAAGUGUGUAGAAAUGGCAGGUUCCUCAAGUCAUCACAUAAGAAAUAUUUAUGUUUUCGGUAGAUCCAGCCUUGGGAAAGAAAAAGAGUUUUUAGAAUCAAUAAAUCAUCUUGAUUAGGUACUAGCUCAAAGAAAGAUUCAUUUAGUGUAUGGGGGAGGCAGCCUUAGGUUAAUGGGGGGUGUCAAUAGCUGCAUUUUUAGGAGACAAUCAAGUUUUGGGGGUUGUCCCCAAAGCUUUAGCAAAAGGGGACAUAAUUGGAAAAACAAUUGGAGAGGAACUGCAGGUCUCCACAAUGUCUGAUCGAAUGAAUGCGAUGUUUAACCAUGCUGAUGCCUUCAUUGCUUUACCAGGUGGUCUGGGAACAUUAGAAGAGAUCUUUCAUAUUUCCUCUUGGGCCCAACUACACAUUCACCAUAAACUUAUAGGUUUGUUAAAUGUUAAUGGUUUUUAUGAUAAUUUGUUGUCUUUUCUUUAUCAAGCUGUGGAACAACAAUUUCUAACAUCUUCGGCACGAUAAAUCAUAAUCUCUAUUGUUACUACUGAACAAUUGAUUGACCAACUACAAUUUUUUCAUCCCUGUAAUUGAUCCCUACAUGAGUCGUAUAAAUUGGUCAAUUAAGGAAAGCCGUAAAAAGCUUAGAUUGGAUUUGAGCUUUCGUUUGUGAAACCUUGUGUCCUUUGGUUUUAUUAAUAGCAUAUUAUUUUGUUUUGUUAUUUCUUAUAUUUGUUUAAGUGUGUUUCAGGUUUGUUAGUGUUCGAUGUUUCAGGUGAUGUCUUCUAUACUCUAUCUUUCUACCUUAUGACAUUGAAGACAAUGUCACGUUUUGGUUGGGGGGAGAGGGUAGUAGUUGACAUAAAAAAAAACUAACUUACUAACUAUUUUUACUAUUAUUAAAACCAUUUGACAGAACUGUUAUUAGGAUGGCAGAGUAAGGAGGAAUUUUAUUAACUCUUGAAAUGCAUCUUAAUAAAUAUUCUUAUCAAGGUCUAUCAGAAUACUUAUUAAAAUAUUCAGGUUUACAAACUCUCGUAUUGUUAUCACUUGAUUAUGCUCAUAUACUCAUUUAACAAGUAUUCUUAAACCUUCAUUUUCACACACACACUUUAACAUAUGAUUGUGGGUUGCACAUUGGAUUAUUAUAUUAUUUAUGUUCUUUUGUUAAAGGUAACAACUAAGGGAAAGGGAUAGUAUAUAAUUUGCAAAAAAAAAAAACACAAACAAAUUGAUAAUAUUGAUGAUAAUAAAAACGUAGAUAAGUUUGGUUUCGUAGCCUCCCUAACUUAAAACAAUUAAGCCCGAAUGGGUGUUUUAACACCUAAUACCCUAAAGUCAACUGAUUUGGGAGCUAUUGGCCCAAAGUUUGUUACAUGGGUUAAGGAGAAAAGCUUAAGGGAAUGAAACAUUGCACUAUCUACGUAUCAGUAUCUACAACCCGAGUUACUAAGCUCGUAGGGGUGUCUCAACACCUAAUGCCCUAAGACUAACUGGUCUGGGAGUCAUUAGCCGAAAGCUCGUUAUAUGGGUUAAAGAUGCAUUAUGUUUUAUGUUUUAAGUUAUAUAUAUAUAUAUUUAAAAAAAGAGAGAAAAAAAAAAGAUAAUAAUCUUAACCCAAGGAAGUUAACCUUAAACAUUAGAACAUAAUAUUGUUUUCUUCCAAUAAAAGCCUCAUCAUCUAUGUUUUCAUACAUUGGGCACAUAAAAAGGAAGGUUUAUUAAUAUUUUGUUUAAGAGGUAUUGAGCAGAUAUAUAAAUUUAAUGAGAGUUUGUUUAUUUGAAUAGAUUAAUGGAAGUUGAAUGAUGAAUGCCUUGCUUUGUGGAACUUGCAAAUUGUUUUUCUAUUUUAACACUUUAAUUACUAGGGACUAGUAAUAAGCUAGUUGGGGGGUGCGAUUAGUACUUAAAAGUGCAUUUUUAUCAAGGUUUUAUAUCAUUAUUUUGCACUUGAAGUAUCAAUAACUCAUUAACUAGAGCAUGUUUUAUAAUAUCAUGUCUAAUACUAUAAGAUACCUUUAAUUUAUGGUAAAUGUUCAUCUUAAAUACAGGCCUAUCACAUAAAUGAAGGGAUUGAUUGAUGAGUUUAACUACUGAAAUUGAGAAGACAAGGAGAGGGCUAAACGUAGAAAAGAGAUGCUGGUUCAUUCCAAACUAAAACAAUGUUCAGUCAUUAGGUCAUAUCCGGAGAUGUAGAUCUUGGAUUUCAGUUUGGUUUAUAUGGCUAGAAAGCUAAGACAUAGGCCUAAAAGAUUUAGGAACAGUCCAAGACUCAAUUAUGCUAUUUGGAAGUCCAAAUCUUAGCAUCAAAAGAGAAGUCUGAAUCUGUCCUGCAGCCCAGAUAUUGUUCAGUGUUCAGCCCAUAUCUCAAGUUCUAGAAGUCCAAAUGCACUGUUUCUUUUUCUGUUGGAAAGCUGAGAUAAUUUCCUAGAACUUUCAUGAAGACAGUCUGUUCAAAUUCUUACGUUAGCAAUGACGUUUUGUUCAGACAAGAAGAUAAUGAUUGUCACCAAGUCAAGAUGUGGCCACCCACUCAACAAUUAGUCAUCAAAUCAAUAGUUCCAAAUUCUGGCCUAUAAAAGGAGGCAUUUGUCAUGCAUUUAGGCAUCUUGGUUUUCAUAUCAAGAUCAUUUCCUUACUUGCAUUUUUUCUUUGUAGUUUUAAUGUUCUAGUUUUAUUUCAUGUUAUAGUUUCAUUAAUAUCUUGUUUAUGCCUUUCAUUUCCUUUACUAUACUUAUAUAAUCAUGUUCUCCUCUUGUUUAUUUAUGUUUCUCUUCUUCAAUAUGUUUAGUUAAGUUUAUUAUGUCAAGGUGAAAAGGUUUCAUUAAUGGUGUUAGGAUAAGUAUAAUAUAAACUCAAUAUGGACUUCAAUGAUUAUAUCUUAAACAACCUACUAUUAACAUGUCUUAUUAUUUUUAUCUUAUUAAUUCUUAAUACCUUGCUUGUUAAAUAGUUAAUCUAAAUUUGUGUUGUAUGACACUUGGCACAACAAAUACUUGGCACUUUCAUAGCCAACCGUAUGGUAUAACCUACACCUAUGCUAUGAAAGGAACUUGAUUUGUUAUUAACAUAAGUUAGCAUCAUGAAUUCCUGACAAUAUUUAAAAGUUUGGUGUUACUUAAAUAAGAUAAUUAAUAUGAUCAUGUUAAUAAUUUAUAAUGAGCUAUUAAUGACAAAUCAUCUGAUUGGAACCUCCUUUGUGUGUGGUUUCUAGUUGAGUAAUAAAAAGAGUUUAUAUUAUACUUAUUUGAAAUAACAUUAGUGGAUCCUCUAACCUUGACAACUGUUUUUAUCAUUGUUUAAUCUUCACAUUAAUCUUACAUCUCAAAGUCCUCUUUAACUCAUCAUCACCACCACCACCACCAUCAUCAUCAUCAUCAUUUAUAAUUUAUAUAGUUAAUCUCCCUAUGGUUCAACCUCGGUCUUGCCGGGUUAUUUAUUACUUCGACACUUCUACACUUGGAAGAAGACAUCAAUCUUUUGGUCGUGUCAGCAAUUCAUAAUGUUUUAAAGAAAAAAAACUACAAUGUUAAAUUUUCAACCAACUCAAUAUUAAAAAAAUAAAAUCAACAAAGAUAAUUUUGGAAAAAAUCAUAAAAAAAAACAAAAAAAAUCAUGAAAAAAACAAAGCAAAAAAAAACAAAAAAAACCAUGUAGGGAAACACUGUAGCAAUCCACAAUGUUUUAAAGGAAAAAAACUACAAAGCUAAAUUCUCAACCAACUCAAUAUUAAAAAAAUAAAAUCGACAAAGAUUAUUUUGAAAAAAAUCAUUUUAAAAAAUAGCUCCAACUCAUCCCACACAACACCAUAACAUUUCAACCACCACCAUAGACUAAGCAACAACAUAAACAAAAACUAGAAGCACAACCCCAUCCUCCACUCUUUCCUUUCCCGUGAUCACCUUCUUUCUCGCUACCAACCGAAGAGUGCUACAAUACUCGCUUCAUAUAGCGAGUACUGUUCAUAGUGUUAGAAUGGGUAGCCAAAUAGAGAGUAACAAUGUUAUUUUUUUUUCCACUCAUACAGUCAUACUAACUAUUAUAGCUCAGAUAAAGUUGAAGCCAUCCUUGCUAAAGCACAAGCAACACCCAAUGGAAUUGUCAUUGUGUCAUAGUAUAUUUAAAAGAGUAGGGGAGUUGAGGUGAGUUUUUUUACUUGGAUUGUGAUUGUGAUGUAGUUGCAUUGGUAUUUAAAAUCUCAUCUAAAAGAGAGAUAUUCCUUAGAUUAGUUGUUUUUAUAUGUUUUAAGUUUGUUAAUUUUUAGUUAAUGAAAUUUUAUGGACACAAUUGUAUUGUAUUUUUAAGUUAUUUAAACUAUGUAUGAAUUUUUAUUUGAAUUAUGUAUUUUAAGGUGUUAGGACUUCUAUAUUGUUUAUUUAACUUUUUAUUUUAAUUAUGCUAUAUUAUUAUUUAUUAUUUGACUGAAAUUAUCAAUAUAUAAUUAGUUAAAAUAUUUUACCUACGAUUUUACUAUUCAAGUUUAUAUUGUAUAUUCCGUGUCAUGUCAAAAAAAACAUUUUUGACAACUUCGGACUUAACAAUUCAUGUAAAAAAAAUUUUCUUGAUGUUUAAUAUUUUUUUUCCUACCCUAAAUGCGAGCAUGGAAUCUCCAAAUUAAGCAGCUCCAUCUUUUUCAUUGCAAAUUCAGUCGUUUUCAAAACCACAUCAAAUCUUGAAUUUUGCUAUUUCAACACCUUUAUUUUUGAAUUUGGAAUUACGUUUAAAAUAUUUAACUUGAAAAAACAUUAAAUUUGUAUUUUUUUAGUGUUUUCAAGUAAAAAACACUUCGCACUAAAAUACUAAAUACUAAAUACGCACAAAAACAUAGUUUGUUUUUGGAUAUGCAAAAUUGCUUCCCCUCGUUUCUCAUCAGCCAAGAAAACUACAAUAGCAUAUGAUAUAAAAGAUUAGCACACAUGACAAAUUCCCCUCAACAAAUUAUUAAGACUUUUACUUCUUUUGAAAACAGUCUCAAAAUAACAGUACUAGUCUAAAGUUUCAUGUAAAUUUUUUUUCUUGAUGUUUAAUAUUUUUUUUCCUACCCUAAAUGCGAGCAUGGAAUCUCCAAAUUAAGCAGCUCCAUCUUUUUCAUUGCAAAUUCUGUCGUUUUCAAAACCACAUCAAAUCUUGAAUUUUGCUACUUCGACACCUUUAUUUUUGAAUUUGGAAUUACGUUUAAAAUAUUUAACUUGAAAAAACAUUAAAUUUGUAUUUUUUUAGUGCUUUCAAGUAAAAAACACUUCGCACUAAAAUACUAAAUACGCACAAAAACAUAGUUUGUUUUUGGAUAUGCAAAAUUGCUUCCCCUCGUUUCUCAUCUGCCAAGAAAACUACAAUAGCACAUAAUAUAAAAGAUUAGCACACAUUACAAAUUUCCCUCAACAAAUUAUUAAGACUUUUACUUCUUUUGAAAACAGUCUCAAAAUAACAGUACUAGUCUAAAGUUGAGAGAACAUACCUGUCAAAAUCAUCAAUUACUCUCUCCCUUGCCUAUUAAAAGUUUAUAUGCCUUUGAAGUUUGAACCAUACCUCAAAAAACUAGUCUAAUCCAACCCUAAAAUAGCCCAUACCAUGAAGCCAAUCUUGCACAUACCUCAUUUUUUAUUUAACAGUUAUUUACAAAAAAAAAAUGGUAAAUUUUAUUUUAAUCCUUAUAGAUUCUAAAAUGUUCAACUUUAAUGAAUAUAGUUUAAAGCCCUUUCAUAUCAAUCUCAUAAUUCUAAAAAAAUUUCAUUAUAAUCAUGGUUGUUAAAUUAGUAAGAGAAGCGAAAGACCAUUUUUUUGGAUUUUCCCACUUGAGCUUUUACAAGAGAAGCGAAAGAAAUAGGAAAAAGAGAAAUUAAGACAAACAAAAAAAUAUAUUUAAAAAAUAAGGUUAAUUUCACUAAGUCUCCUAUAAUUUAAAUAUUCUCUUAAUUUACCAUGUUUUUCAAGAAAAUAUAUUCUUCAAUUCAUAAAACUUUAUAUUUUCAUGUUAACUCAUUGUUUGUUAACAAAUUUGUUGUUAUUAUUAUUGAAAAAUUCAAAGCUUGUAAGUAAAAUAAAAAACACAAAAUCAAAAAUAAAAUCAAUCAUGCUUCCACACUUACUCCACUAAAAUACCCAAUUAAAACUCCUUUACUCAAAAGCUCAUUUUCUAACCUCAAUCUAGAAAAAAUAAAAAUAAAAAUUAAGUACUUUCCUCUUUCUAUCCUUAUCUCACAUUUAAGUUCUCUCCCUCUUCGCUAACUGUCCUUCUCUGCAAAAUCCCAAAAACCCUAGGGCCCUUUCUGUAUUUUCAACACUCCCAAAAACUAAAAAAAACUUCCUCAUUUUUUUUUUUUUUAAAUCUCAAUUUCCAUAAGUUAGGGGUUUUUACAUUUCCAUACGGUUCAGUCACAAUUACACAUUGAUAGAUUAGGAUUAGAUAGCGAGAGUUCAAAUAAACCGAAAGAAAGACGCAAAUCGUGACCGUUAGGUUUUUUUUGGAUCUGAUCAUGGACGCACGAGAUUCGACAUCGAACCGAGACGUCUCGUCGAGCGGCGGCAGCGGCACCACCACCGGCGUCGGAGGAGGAGAAGAGGAUCCUAUCCUUUCCGUCACUGCCACGCUUGCCAAAGACGCUUGGUUACACUUUAACUCUCGCCGGUUCAAUGAGUGCCUCGAGGUUUUGUAUCAGCUAAAGCAGAAAAAGGAAGACGAUCCAAAGGUGAUAAUUACACAAAUAAUAUAAAGUCACUUUUUUUUUGUCGGAUUUUAUCUGAUUAGAAAUUAAGUUUACUUCGAGUAAAAUGUUGUAAUGGACUGUUAAUUUUGUGAUUUAACUCACUUAAUUGAGUUGCUGCCUUUUAAUUUUAAUGAAUUUUGAUUAAGUUAGUUAAUUAUUCACUCACUUAAUUUAGUUGCUACUUUUUAUUUCUUAGUAUUUUUUUAGAUUAAGUUAGUUAAUUAACUUGAAAAGCUUAAUUUUGCACUUUAUUUAGUUAGUUCAAAUUUAAGGACAGUAUCUAGGCGGGCACGCGAAUGCUGAAGUUAUGCAAUGUAUUAGGGUAUUUGGAAUAUGUAAUUGAUGUGAGAAUUUUCUCUUCUUUUCGUUUUUUCUCGUUCCUUUUAAGUUUGUAAUCUCUGGGUUAUGCUUUAUUAGGUACUUCGUAAUAUUGCUAUUGCGGAGUAUAGUAGAGAUGGUUAUCCAGAUCCAAAGAAGUUGCUUGAAGUGCUUAAUAACAUUGAGGUAUGUUAUUUUUGUUAUGUUUUUGUAAUAUUGGCUGGAGGGAGGCAGUGCUAUUAGUUUGGUUUUGGCUCUGUGUGAAGAUGGGUUUGUUCUUUAAUUAUCAGAGGAUAGAGAUUUCAAAGGGAAAAAUUAUGUUGCUGAAUUGAAUUUUACAUGCAAUGCAUUAGGGUAUUUGGAAUAUGUAAGGACAGUAUCUAGGCGGGCACACGAAUGCUGAAGUUAUGCAAUGUAUUAGGGUAUUUGGAAUAUGUAAUUGAUAUGAGAAUUUUCUCUUCUUUUCGUUUUUUCUCGUUCCUUUUAAGUUUGUAAUCUCUGGGUUAUGCUUUAUUAGGUGCUUCAUAAUAUUGCUAUUGCGGAGUAUAGUAGAGAUGGUUAUCCAGAUCCAAAGAAGUUGCUUGAAGUGCUUAAUAACAUUGAGGUAUGUUAUUUUUGUUAUGUUUUUGUAAUAUUGGCUGGAGGGAGGCAGUGCUAUUAGUUUGGUUUUGGCUCUGUGUGAAGAUGGGUUUGUUCUUUAAUUAUCAGAGGAUAGUGAUUUCGAAGGGAAAAAUUAUGUUGCUGAAUUGAAUUUUACAUGUUAGAUUUUGAGAGCAAGAGAUUUCUAGUGGUGCUGCAGUCUAUACAUUUAGUUCAUUGUGGAAGGAUGCUAUGUACAGUCAUAAGAAUCUGCUCCUGCUUUCACAGUAGCAAUCACGGGUAUAAUUUACGUGUAUAACAAGUGUUCAGCAUUGCAGAGGUCAUCUCUGAGACACACUUGGAGUUGUGGGCAUUGGAUAGUUUUAUAUGAUAGUUAUUUCUUUGAUAAUUUACGUGUGCAUAUUUUAUUGUAUUGAAAUUCAAUGGAGUAAUUUGGUCUGUCAUUUCAGUCUUGUAUUAGUAUCAUACUGUCAUUGUUUGUUUCUGUUGAUUUCUUGAGCUAGAUAUGGUCUUCUAUCCUGCCAUAUGUAAGUUGGAAAGCUGUUAACUCAGUAAUGUAUUUACUAGAUUGUAUUUUUAUGCCAUUGAAAAUGAUCCUGGAAUUGCUUACUUGAAUCCUAAUCAUGUUUGCAUCAAUGUAUAAAUAGAUUAUUUUGGGAAUGAAUUACCAUCUCAUAAUACCCAUUUAGGUAUCUGCUUCAAUCUAUUAACAAUGUACCACCUGGAUGUUUUCCCUACUAUGCUGUGUUUGGAAUUUUCUGUGAGCUGGUAUGAUACUAAAAGAAAUCCAUUCCAACCCAUUUCAUUUUUUGAUACCUCCCUCUUCUUCGUCCCUUAAUAUUCAAUUUCAAUUUUUUUUCUAUCAAAUUCAAUCUACAUUCUUUUAAUUGUUAUUUCUUUUGUUUUGGAUACUUUUUUUAUUCAAUUUCACCCCUCAAUAUUUUAUUUAUUUAGAAUUUUGCUUUGUUAUUUUUAGGGUUUGCCAUAUUGUGAAAAGAAUCACAAUGAUAAUAAAAGGGGGGGGGGGAGUCCAAAUGUGGGCUAAAUGCCUGUUUCCGAAAGAAGAAAAAGUCCUAAAGUCACACGUACCAAUUGAAGGGACGGUGGGCCGAGUCACAAUAAUUUUAAUUCUAGUAUAGUAUUUAACAUCAACCAUGGAUCCUAAAGGCUAAAGUCCAUAUAUAUAUACUCAUAAGAAAAAAAAAAAAAACUAUCGUGCUUGCCUAUCUCCUUAAAAGUUUCGAAUCCUUAAACAAAGUGUUUGCCUUUUAGGUCCAAUUAGGGUUUUGGGUUUGCUUCCAAGCCCAAAAUCGAUCUCUCUCUAGUUUGUUUGCCUCCAUUCAUUCGUAUCAGUGGUUGUCUGCAUAGCAUGUUGAAAAUAUUCUGUAUGAGUAUAUCUCCUUGCAAUUUAAAUUGUCCAUGCUUCCUGCAUGAAAUCCAUUUGUGAUAUCACCACAUUGAAAUUAGUAUUUUAUGCCGUGUUCAAAUCUUAUAAUAAAUGUGCAGUCACGUUUCAUUUUGCUGUAUAAAGUAGGAAUUCUUUUUUUUUUAACCAGAUUGCAACACUUGAAGAGAAUAAUCAGCUGAUGACACCUCCAGAAAACCAGAUGGCAACCCUUGAAGACAAUAAUCACUUGAUUACUACUCCAGAAUACCAGCUGGCAACCCUUGAAGAGAAUAACCAGCUGAUUACUACUCCAGAAUACCAGAUGGAAACAUUUGAAGAAAACAAUCAUUCUAUGCCUGCUCCUGAAACACAGCCUAACAAGAGGAGGAAAAGGAAGUCCAUGGUUUGGGAACACUUCACCAUAGAAACUGUAAGUGCUGAUAGUAGAAGGGCAUUCUGUAAGCAGUGCAAGCAAAGCUUUGCAUACAGCACAGGUUCAAAAGUAGCUGGUACCAGCCAUCUUAAACGUCACAUUGCCAAGGGAACUUGUCUAGCACUACUACGCAAUCAGGGGAAUCAACAAACACCUGGUACACCAGGGAUGAAUGGAAAUGGCAGUAUGUCUGAUCCACCAAGACGUCACUACAGAUCCCAUAGCUCAGCCUACAUUUCAUUUGAUUCAGACCGUUGCCGCCCUGAAAUUGCCAGAAUGAUGAUAAUCCAUGAUUACCCUCUUCACAUGGUCGAACAUUCUGGAUUUGUAACUUUUCUCAAGACUCUUGAACCCAGAUUUGACAUGGUGAGCUUUAAUAUUGUCCAAGGAGAUUGUGUCUCAAGUUACUUGAGGGAAAAGCAAAAUGUUAUGAAGUUCAUUGAGGGUUUGCCCGGACGUGUUUGCCUUACACUGGAUGUAUGGACAUCUAGCCAAAGCUUAGGUUAUGUGUUUAUAACAGGACACUUCAUUGAUGGUUAUUGGAAGCCACAGAGGCGGAUUCUCAAUGUUGUGAUGGAACCGAACCCUAACUCAGAUGCAGCUCUUAGCCAUGCUGUUGCUACUUGCCUAUCUGAUUGGAGUUUGGAAGGCAAGCUAUUUUCUAUCACUUUCAAUCAUCCAGUGGGUGAACCUGGGCUUCAAAACCUCAGAUCUCUACUCUCUGUAAAAAAUCCCCUUAUCAUCAAUGGUCAGUUAAUCCUUGGGAACUGCAGUGCUCGUACUUUAAGCAACUUUGCAAAAGAAGUGCUAUGGGCAGGGCGAGAGAUCAUUAAGAAAGUCCGUUACAGUGUAAAGUAUGUGAAGACCUCAGAAUUUCAUGAGCAAAAGUUCCUUGAGCUCAAGGAACAGCUUCAAGUCCCCAGUGAAAAAGACCUAUCUCUUGACAACCAAGCUCAAUGGAACACAACGUAUCAGAUGCUGGUUGCUGCUUCAGAGUUGAAGGAAGUAUUUUCUUGCCUAGAUACUUCCGAUCCUGAUUACAAAGAGGCUCCAUCCAUGGAAGACUGGAAGCGGGUUGACAUUCUAUGCACGUACUUGAAACCUCUUUUUGAUGCAGCCAACUUCCUUGCCUCUAGAACUAACCCAAACCAGAAGACAUUCUUCCACGAAGUCUGGAAGAUGCAUGAGCUGUAUCAUUCUAUUACAAGUCAUGGGGAUCCCUUUGUCAUCAGUCUUGCUGAAAUAAUGCAAGAAAAGAUAGACAAAUAUUUGAAGGAGUGCAUCCUAUCUUUGGCAAUUGCUGUAGUCUUGGAUCCUCGGUUUAGGAUGAAGUUGAUCGAGUUCAGUUUUGUGAAAUUCUAUGGUAAAGAAGCUAGCAAAUACAUUAAGAUUGUUGAUGAUGCGCUCCAUGAGCUUUUUCUCGAAUAUGCGGCGCUUCCUUUCCCUCUUACGCCAGCUCACGCUGAAGAUGGAAAUUUUGAGAACAUGAAGACUGAAGAAAUUUCAUACAAUGAGCUCACAGAUUUUGAUGCGUAUGUGGAGACUACUAGCCAAAAUAAGAAGUCGGAGCUGGAGCAGUAUUUAGAAGAGUCUUUGUUGCCUCGCUUCCAAGAGAUGGAUGUACUGAAAUGGUGGGAAGAGAACAAGCUCCAGUAUCCAGUUCUUUCAACAAUGGCUCGUGAUAUAUUGACCAUGCAGGUGUCUACUGCUGAUCCUGAUUCUGUAUUUGAUACCGAGAUCAAAGAGCUGGAUGAGUAUCGGAGUUCUUUGAGACCUGAAACCGUGGAAGCCCUUGUAUGUGCAAAGGACUGGCUUCAGUACAGAUCUGCUACAGAAGUUUCUAAUGCUCUUGUGAAAGUAGAGGAUCUUAGAUCUUAGUGCUCAGUGUCUCUGACUAUAGGUUCCUUGUUAGUCUCGAUUAUAAUCUUCUACUUCUACAUUAGGCUAGAUUUUGAUCUAGAUUGCUUGAACACGAGAACUUCAGUUUUUACAGUAGCUUUUCUGAUUCUAUGAGUUCCUUGUACUUUGUUUGCUGUGGCUUAGCAAUUAUCUAUUGUCAAGGCUAAAUAUUAACAGGUGCUGGGACUAAUUAUUGAUGUCCAGCUAACCACAUAAUUGAGAAUCAAACCUGUAACAGGAGAAACAAAGGCUAUGAGGGUGCUCUCUUUUUCAUUUGACCACAAAUUGGAAAUUUCCUGUUCUAUUUUAGGUUACAGGCAAAUCCUUUUUCUUUUAGAUCAUACAUUCAUUGAAAUUAUGGUUGAUUUGUCAUUGCAUCUUUUUUUAGGAAUUGAAGACAGAAGAGAGAGAAGCAAGGAAGGCCAAGUCGGGUGAGAAAAACUACUGAUUUUGAUUUUUCAUCUUCCGGGUCUCUUUGAAUUAAUAGAAAAUGGAAUCUUUGAAUCUAUUAAUAUCAGAUAUAUUGUUUCUUGGGUUUUUGUUUUUUGGAGUGAAAUGAAUGUUAGCGAGGAUCUAUUUCUUGAAAUUUACAUUUGAGUGUUUGUAGUGGUGAUGCUUUUUUAACCAAUUCAUAAUUUAUUUAGUAAUUUUUCUUAAACUUCUCCUUUAUAAAUUGCAGGUUAGAGUCUGUAGAGAAAAGUCGAAUAUAUAUGCUAUAAAGAAGCUUGAGAAAUUAGUGAUGCUUUGUUGAGGCCAGGUAUGUGAUUUUGUUAAGCUUUCCUAACAAUUUUAUUGGAUUCUUUUUCAUUAUAUGCUUAUUUCCGAUUUGGAUCUAAAUGUUCAAGUUAGACAUUUGAAAGUAGAAAUGAUUCACAAAUUAUUUUAGAUUGAAGUUCAAUUCGACAGAUAAGCCAGGGUUUGAGCACAUCUAUGACUACAGUUUAAAUAGACUUUGAAAUAUGAUUUUGAAUCUUUCCGGGGAGUGAUUUUUUUAUCGUUCACAAUUUUAAUUUUUUUUCAGUUUUCAUGGAUUAUUUUUGAGAUAAUAAUGAAGGCAAUGUGAAUCAAAACUUUUAGUGUCAUUGUCAAUUAUAACCUUAGUUUAAUAUUCUUUGAUUCUAAUUACUACUGGUAUAUUUAUUGGUUUUUUCCCUUUUUGUCUCUGAUAUGUCUUUUGGUUAUUGUGCCCAUAAUUAUUUUACAAUGAACCAUCCAGGAUUAAAUUAUUGCAUUAUCCAGUGGCUCUUAAUCAACCAUUUUUUUAAAGUUUUUUUUCUUCCAUAAGUGGAUGGUAUUCAGGUGGGAGUGUUCAUAUUGUUGAAAUAUUUGACUCAGUGUUCUACUGUCUCUAUAUUAUAAGAGUGCAGUGCUUUAGGUAUUUUCAUUCGAGUGAAUAAGUUUCAUAUAUUACAUGAAAAUUUUUUUUUAUGUCCUCAUCUUGCCUUUUCACAAUUUGGUUUUUUUGUUCUAAUAGCUGGAGGUGCUAGGUGUGCUGUUAUUUGUGCAUGGUUUUAAUCAACUCCUUAUAGGGACCUAUACUCCAUAAGUUUGAUACGCUUUUUUUUUUUUUUUUUCACAUGUUGCAAUGUUGUUUUGCUUUCUCCUGUUUUGAGAAUUCAACAGAAUUUAUACUUUUGAAUUUAGCCUUUGAAAAUGACAUCACUUUUAGAUCCAUAUGCACAAGAUAUAUAUACUUGAUAAAAGAAAAAUUGGGGGGAGGGGGGGUUUUAAUGAAAUUAAUAAAAGAUGUAGGCCUUGACUAUUUCUUUUCAUACAUUUGAAGUUUUUUUUUUGUGUUGGUUAUUUCAAUGGUUUGUUUUUCAGUUUCGUCUUUUUACACCUUUGAAUUUGGAAUUAAGAAGAAAAGAGUGAGAAACGUAAAUUAUCUUAGUUGCCUUUCUGGUAUUAUUUCUAAAGGAUUAAAAUUUCUUUAUUGAAACGGGGCAACUAAGAUUUGACUGUAGCCUGUUUUGUUAAAUGCAACUGUACAGGUAAUAAUCUAGAUCUCAACUCUAUUGACUGCCAUUGCAUAUUUGAUUCAUUUUUGUUUACCUUUUCAUUUUUCUUAUACCUUCGGUCCACAAUAAUUUACUACUAAAUCAACUACAGCACCUUGCUCUCUUUUUUCUGGUCUUUGGCUGUUGAGAUAACCAUAUUUCAUAUGCUAUCUCACUACCAAGUUUUGCGUAGGCUUCUAACUUUUUACAACAUGCUGUACCUAGCUUUAAUUGGUUAGGCUUAACUAUUGGCUUGACAACUAACUUGCCUAGCAUUCUUUUUCUUUAAUCCAUAUCACUUUAGCUAGAUCAAUUACUUUGAUGGAUUAUGGCUUCUCAAGUUUAUGCUUUACCAUAUCUGUUUUUCUGGCAUAAUUUAUCCAUUGCUUCUGCUGGUUUAGGACUGUGCUGUCAGUUUCUCUUGCUCAAAAUCUUUCAAGUCCUAAUAAGUUAUUUAAGCCUUUCUAAGAAAUUUCCAUUUAUCUUACUUGAUAACCAUGAUUGCAAUUAUAUUUGUUUCCAUGUUGUAUUCUCAUUUCUGAUAUUACAAGAAAACAUUCUAUAGACUUGCUUUAUUGGCAAUUCUGUAUGUUUUUGCAGGCUCUAUGCUGCUUUGGAUUAGUAUUAUUUAAUAAUAAUUUAUCUAUUAAGUCAACCAUGUUUUUUUAUGUCUCUGCUUUUAGUUUGGUGGCAUUAGGUUUUUGGAUAUUGGUUGAAUAUCAAAUGAUUUGUAUUUGAAUUGUGUUUUGUGGUUUCAUUGCUCUAUUAUGCAAUGAGAAAUUAAUAGAAUGCAUGGUGGAAUCUUUGUUUUGAUCUGUCGAACAAUUGUUUUUAAGCUUUAACGAAUCAGAGGAUCAACAUGCUCUUGAUAUUUUUGGUGUCAUUGAUGAUUUAAUUUCAUUUCCGGUUCUUUUUGUAUGCCAUAGAAUUAAUUAUAUUUGUUUUGUGAUGACAUACAUUGAAAUCUUUUAUCCUUGAGAUCUUUUCAAAGAAAUACGAAGCUUCUAAUUUUUUUGCUCAAACUUUUUUAUUUUAGUUGCUUGAUGAUUCAUUUUUCAUUUACAGGACAUGUAGCCAUGGACGGUCAUGCCAUGCAUGCACUGGAUAUUGUUUUGCAGCUUUUGCUAAAACUCUCUUCCUUUAACAGCAUUCAACUUGACUCUUGCUAGCACUGCUAUAUGCAACUCUUUUUAAUUUAUUAAGCGCUUCUUUGUUCUAGAAUCAUUGGAUGACAAAUAUUUUUAAUUAAAGAUAUUAUUGCUUAACCACUGCAUUCAUUGCCUUUUAAUGAAUCUAGAUCCUACUUGCAUGCUAGGAAAGUUCUUCAUUUUCCCUCUUGCAAUGUGAUUUAGGUUUCAUGAAUUUAUAAUUGGCAAGAAAGCUGCAGCAGGAUUGCCCGCAGCAGCGCGCGGGCAAUCGAACCAGUAUUACGUUAAACGUGAUAAAUUAUAUUCUAAGACAAAAAAAAAAGAAGUUAAAAUCAAUAAAACAAACUUACUUGCUGGACUAUUUUCUCUUGUCCUUGCAAGCCGUGGUUUUAUGUUGUGGCUUAAGAUGUGCCUCAACUCUGCUUGGAUCCAACCACUUUAGAGGAUGGAGAUUGAAAAACAUUCAAUGAGGGACCAUAACCUGUAAGGUUAAAAACACUCCACAUGAGAAAAUUAGCACCGUCGUUUGAAACAAUCUAAAACCAAAGCACCACAAAAACCUUCUCUUCUUCUCUGUCUUUUUUAAGGUUUCUCUCUGUUUUAAUUUUGUUUUUUUAGGUUAACAUAAAAAGAAAGAUUAUUCAAAUAAAGAUAGGACCUUUACGGCAAAAAAAUCCUCUUUUUUGAUCCUUUCUACGGUGUAUGUCAGUGCUUACUCAUUCAAGGAUAUUGCUUAUUCAAUUCUUAAAAUGGGUUUAUUCUUGUUCAAUUAGAGAUAUGAAUUUAGUCCCUUUCUUGCUUUCUUUCUCCGUUUAAAAUCAUGAAAUUGAACUCAAUAGUUACAUGGGUUCUUGUUUUUCUUGUUGAUAUUGUUUUGUAAUUCCAAAGGGUUACUGGAAUUAAUACUGUCUUUGUGUUUUAAGAUUUGAAGAGUCUCUGGCGCUAUGGAUCUGUCUCCAUUCAAGUUGGACAUUGAUGAGCUUAUAAAUGAGUUUGUUGAGGUGUUUACUUGGAUUUGUUAUGUUGGGCUGUUUAUGCUUUGUUUAGCUAUUGUUUUUCAUGAAGGUUAUUAUGUUUUGACUGUUUUAACAGUUGUGGUGUUCGGGAACUGUUAGGGUGAGUUUACAACUUUGGCUGAUAUGAAAAGAGUAUGGCUUUCCAGGAAGUUUACCUACAUCUUGAAGCUAGGUCUCCUACCAAAUUGGCCUUCUUUAUGCAGUCGUUGUAUGCUCAUACAAUUGGUAAGCUCUCACCGACUUGAUUUUUGUAUUGUCAUUGAAGCAAAUAAUGUCUGUGCUAGAAUCCAGUUGUCGUUGUGAGUUUUUCUUCAGUUUAAAAAUUGUUGCCCUGGUUAUAUUUUAUAAAGCCCGUUUCUGGUAAUGGACAAGUCCCAUCUGGGGCUGGAUAGUUUUUGGAUCAUGUUGCCAUCUCAUCAUAUUUCUUGAGGCAUAUGUAAGCGAGAGCUUGUUUAAUCUUACCAUGCUCAUAGUGAAUUUAGAUGAUUGUCUCCUUGAAAGUAAAUCAAGGAUUUUUUUUUAAUUCAAUUUCUAAUGCAAAUUUUGCUAACCAACAUGCAAUCAAUUGCAGGUCACAUGAUUAGCACUUAUUCUUUAUCACAAAGGCUAGGAGGCAUGUACUGCCUUUACUGUCUUUAUGAGACUCAACCAUUCAAGCCUCCUUUCAAAAUGUACUUCUCUCUUGGUAUAUCUGCACUUUCUGCAUGAACUUUAUCUUUAAUGUACUUAAUUUUGAGGUUUAGUUUAUUUUGAUGAGGUUGUGCUAUGUGCUAUGCCAUAUUAUGAAGCUUUUGCUCUAAUUCUCUUUGCUUAUCUGAAUGGCAGGUGAUGUGCAAAUUGGCUUUCAAAUUAAUUCUUUUAUCCUUCUUACUAGAACUAAUUGAUUACAUAUUACUGUGUGACUUUUGGUUGUUUUGAAUGAUUUUUGCACAAUAAUAUUUUAUUAAAAUUGGAAGUUACCUCAGACAAACUACUUCUGCUAGGUCUUAUUCUAAUUUAUCAUUAUUGGUGUCAUGACUCAUCUUUUCCAUUCUUUUCUUUCUGGGGCCACUCUUGUAUUCAGCCAUGAACAAACUGGGUUUUUGCAUUGUAUUGUCAGUGUCGUUGUGAUUAAUUUCUUUCAUUGGUUGGACUUUUAGGUUUAAAGUGAACAUGCUUAAGGGUUUUUCUUUGUGUGAACUCUCUCUCAUUUGGAAGCAUUUUAUUGCUCUUGAUCAUGUUGAGGUGCAUUUAGUGAUGAUAGUAAUAAUGAAGUUAUGAUUAACUGAAGUUUUGUUUUUCCUUCUCCUUUUCACCAUCUUAUUUCUUCAUGUUAUCUGACAGGAGAGUUGAAGAAACUCAAGACCCUUGUUAUAAAUGCAAAAGAACAUGGAAUAAAAGGAGUACCUGCUUUGGUCAAAAGGAUGCUAGAAAAGAACAUGUUUCUUUUUGGGUUUGUGGAUUUACAUGAAGGUUCUGUCAGUGAGACAGUGAACCAACUCACAGAAUUGCAAGAUGCCCGUGUGCAAGUUGCAUAUAAGAAGU
rnacentral:lncRNA from 1 species